GGGCUUAACUCGAAUCCAUUCUCCAUCGGUUUUUCGCUUUACUUCCAACCCUCCGACAUCAUCCUGAGCAAGGAUGGUUAAGGCUCCGCCAUCCUUGUGGCGACCAACGCCCAGAGCUAGGUGAGGGAUGGGGCAAGGUGGGUAGUGAUUGAGGCGGAUGAAGUUCGUUGAUUCUUCAAAGAAAAGAUUGAAUCUGUUUUCUGGCAAACCUAAACUCAACGAGAUGAGUCCCAACAGCUUGAAAGCUAAUUUUUCCAUUUCUCUAGCAUACUCUUCACAUACCUCCCUAUAUAAAUCAGUUCAAUUAGAACAAAAAAGAUAAGUAAUUCACUGUAGUGAUUGUGCCUUAGCUGGUGAAAUUUGUACCUUAAUUCAGGAGGGUACUGAGGCCACUGAUUGGUCAGCUCUUUGAGCUCCUUGUCGUCAGGAUCAGGCGAAACAGGGAUCACGGUGGGGGUUGAUACCACGAAAUCAAAGACUUCCUUCCAGUCCCUAACGUUCUUGGUAAGCUCGGAAUCAAAAUACCCCAAAGGAUUCACCUCAUCUCUACUCACCUUCCUCUUCUCCUCCAAUGGCAGAGCGAAGAAUUUUCUAGCCGCAUCCUCAAUUUUCCGGCGAGACUCCGAGGGCACCCCAUGGUUGAUUACUUGAAAGAAGCCCCAAUUCUUGGAUGCAUCAGCUAUUUGAGAAACAUGGUUGGAAGCAUUGGCGGAAGAGAGAUCAAUGAGGGGUGUUGGGACGUCAUUUGUUUUGAGUAUAUUUGGCUCUGUGCCAGUCAAGGGCGUCACAGAGUGGCCUCCCCAGGAUUCAAACCCAAGUCCAAGACUUAAGGACGAUAAGGUUGCCCUCCUGGUACCAUCUGUGCUGCACGUCCCAACAAGGGGGAUGCCUUCAGCUUCGAUAACAGCGAGCUUAGGCCUAUGUUGGGUGUCUUGGAUGAAGGCUGGAUCGACCUCUCCCAUGGCUGUGGCUGUGGCUGCAGGUGAAGAUGGUGACGGGAACUUGGGCCACUUGGCAGGCGGUUUUUGUAGUGUGGUGGGGUUGGUUUAGUACAUUGAACCUGGACAUAAUUUGGGUUACGUUUUAAGGUUUGGUUGAGGGUGUGACCUCAUGGAUUGCGCAUAUAUUAAUGAUAAUUGGUCAAGUGAUACUGCAGUCCCAAAGGGAAUCUCUCUCAAUGAUUUUACCGACAGCUCCCUCCACGUUCAAAUGUUUGAUCCGUAUUUGAAUUGGAGUCUAAUGCUCUGAUCAAAGACACCUUUCGCUUAGUCGAUCAGUGUUUGAUUACUAAAUAAGAUGGUAUCACAAAUAUUUUUGAAUUCUAGGUCAAAGUUAACGAGCGUCAUCAAUUUGAUUUUAUAAGAUAAAUUGUUUAGAAAUACUUUUAAAAAUGAUUCUUAAAAAAUAUUUUUUUAAGUUUAAAAACCAUUUUUAAAACACUUUUAUAAUUUUUUAGAAUAAAGGUUUAUUUAAAAACUUAUAUUAUUAUAAACUUAUUUUUUAUUUUUUUAAUAUUUUUUAAAUAAUUUUUAUAUAUAAUAUUUUAUUUUCAACCAUUUUUUAUAUUUAUUCUUUUUUUUUUUUAAAAAGGUAAAACUAUUAAAAAUACUUAAAAUAAGUUAUCAACAAAUGCCUAAUUGUCAUGACAAUUUUCAAAAACAUGUUUUAAAAACAAUUGAAAAUCAAAGUAUUUUCAUAUUGCUUUAUUCUCAAAAACAAAAAAUUAUUCUUGGUAACGGUUCCAAAUGUAUCCUUCAUUUGGUUAUCUUAUUAUAUAAGUUUUAAAAUAAAAUACAAAAAAUAAUUUUCAAUGAUAAUUUGUUAUGGUUUUAUCCAAAAAUUUGAUAUUUUUAAUUAAUUAAUUUAUUGAUACGUAUAUUCCCACACAUAUUUUCAUAAAUGGAACCAUAUAAAAAAAUAUUGAAUUAAAAAAAAUAACACAUGAAAUGUGGAAAAAACAAAACACAAUAAUGGUGAAAUUAUGAUUUGUUCAAAAGAAGAAAAUAAUAGUUAGAUUGAUUUGAAAUUUGUUAGAAUCUUUUCUUUUUUUUCUUGAAUUAAUGUGGAAGUUUCAUGACAAGUAAGAAGAAACAACAAGAAUCUUAAUUUUUUUUUUUAAAAAAAAGAAUCCCGAAUGUUCAAGAAAAAUGCAAGAGUUUAAAAAAAAAAGUAGAGUAGAGUUUUUAGUGAGAAAAAGGUAAGAUUAAAAAUGUCUUAUAACAAGAAAAAUUAAUUAAAUCAUUAGUUAGCCAUUUGGUCUCAUUCUUACACAACGACUUCUCUCAUGGCUGCCCAACAUGUAUGAAUAGCUCUCUACAACAAAUAAGGUGCACUUAAUUAAAAAGUUGUUUAAUUUAAAGAUGUUCGAGAAUGAGAACUUCAAGUAGCACUUGAAUGAAUUUAAUGAGAUCACAGAUUAAUUAAAUUUGAUGAUAAGAUUCAAGCUUUAUUAAUCCUCAAUUAAUUGUCUGAGAGUUGGAAAGACACAAUUAGUAGUUCAUCCAGAAAAAUCAAAAUUGGUGUUCUUGAAAGUAGUAUACAUGAUUAUAACCGAGGAGAUUAGGAAGCAUGAAGAAGGGUUUUCCGAUUCAUGAUCAACAUUAAACAUGGAGAGCAAAGGUAGAAAUCAAAAUAAAGGUAACAGGUGUGAUAAAUCCAAAUCGAAGAAUGAUAGGUUGAAAUAUAGAAAUUCCAUAAAUUCCUAACACCAGACAAGUAAGAAAGAUAUCAAAUGUUAGAAUUGUGAUUGGAGCUAAAAUAUGUGCUCUAAUGACAUAUAUUUGAUAUGAUUUCUGCACCAUAAGACACUCAAAUCAUCUAACUCUACCCAAAUUGAUGCUAUGGCCUUAACCACGAGUUUAACUUGUAUUUGGAGAUUCAUCUUAGGUUUAAGGGAAUAAAAAGGUACAAGUUGAAUCACUUUAGAUUUUGAAAGAAUAAGAAGGGGUUAAAUGAGAAAAUGAACAAGUCAAGACUCAUGAAAUAUGAGGAAAGGCAAGAUGAAGAUAUCACGAGUUUGAGAGAUAAGGAAUGACCAUUAUGAAGUAAGAAAUAAGGCAUACAAACAUAGAAAAUGAGGCAUGAAGCUAAAUUCAUCAAGUUUGCAUGGAAAUUUGGGACCCAAAAUCUGGUGGUAACAUGUACUCUAACUUUAAGAUGAAAUUUGAAGCAUUUCCCAAAGUCCAUUUUAGGCAAGCUAUAUAUUGUUUUGAAGCUCAGGAAGUUAGGAAUUCAAAGCUUUAAAUGAUGUGCAAAUUAGAGGUAAAUAAAGAAGUUAUGCACAUUUAAAGCAAACUGGUUAGAGAGGAAAACUGAGUUCAAAAUUGGUAACUUGGAUUUGAAAUGAUUUUUGUCCAUUUAAACUCAGAGGAAUGAAAUAAAACUUUUGGAAUAGGCUAAGUUUGAAUCUCUCUACCUAUUUCAAACAAGAAGCAUACAUUUCAAAGCUAAACGAACAUGCAUGGGCAAUGAGUGUGUUCGAAAUUCAUUGUGAAUUUUGAACUCACCUUGUUGAUUUCAAAUUGGACCAUUUAUUUCCCACUUAUGAGUUCAAAAUUGAUUUGGAACUCACCCAAAUUUCGAACUCAACCACUAGUGACCGAUUUUGAGCUCCGAGACAUGUCAAAAUGAGUUUCAAAUGCCUCUAUCCAAUUCAAAAUGCAUCAUACUCAUUUAGAACUCGUAAUUUUUGGGGCUUUUUUUAAAAGUUAUUUAUGACUUUUUGUUGUAAUAAGUGGCCAAUGAGAGUGUACCACAUGUUAAGUCAUUGAAGUUACUAUAUAAACUCUUUUAAUUCUAGAGUUUAGGUGAUUUUCCAAGAGUUAGACAUUUUGUAUGGAAGAAUACAAGAACUUUGGUUUAUUUCUUUUAUUUUUAUUGAAUAUAUUGUUUGUAGUUUCUUUUGAUUCAAAUUAUGAAUUUUUACACUAUUAUGGAUUGUGAAUGUGACAUUACCCCUAAGAGAGGAUAAAAAGCUAACUUGGGGCUUAAAACAUAAAAACCUAACGGUUAGAAAAUUUAUAAGGACACUAGGUAAAUUAUUAUAAUAAUAAGAUUACUUAAUGGUUGAGUUACAAUUUAUUAAUUUUUUAUCCUAUCAUUGUGAGUUAGUUUGGAGAAUAAUAUAGUAGGUUAUUAUUCGAUACUAGUGAUUCUUGGUAACUCUUUAUCAUUAGUUAUCCUGAUUUUCCUUAUGGUUAUCUGCCCCAAAACAAAGCUAUAAGGAGUAGGAAAUGUUAAAAAGCCAAACCUUAAAAUGAUUGUAAUCUCAUUCAUUUGAUGGCUUUAAGAAUUUGUUUUUUGUUAAAAAAAAAAAUAGGUUUUAGAUGUAAUUUUGAGUUAUAAGGCUCAAGUUGAUCGUAAGCGACCAAGAAUUCUAAAACCUUAAGAUCACUCUUGAUUACUACUCAAAAAGUGCAAUUUCAUAGCUUAUAAUUAACUCUUUUAAACACUUUUGAGUAGUAGUUAUUGCCUUUUAACCCAAUUAACAUGUUAAGGACCCUUGCAAUCAUUUCUAAUCAAAUUGUGUAAGUUUUGGUGUUUUUGUUAGUAAUUUGAUCACCAAAACAAUCCAAGAAUGAGGGAGAAUUGUAUAUAGUUCAUGGCAAAGCUUUUGGAAGCUCAAAUUCAUGAAGAACCAAGCUUUGGAGCUCCAUAGCCCUUUGCCAAAGUCGUUCAAAGUAUGCAAGGAGAGAAGCAAGGAGAAGAGGAAAACAGAGUGAAGAAAACAGAGGACAAGCAGCUUCAGUCUUCAUGCGCACUUUUGGAGCACUUCCCGAAGUCCAUUUUCUACAUUCUAUAUACCAUUUCAAAGCUCAGGAAGUCAAGAAUCCAAUGAUUCAAACGGUGCGCGAUUCGGAGUUGAAACGAAGGAGUUACAGCCAUUGCAAGCAGAUCACUCCAAAGUGUUGCGAAAUCAGCCUUUUGUUGCGAGAAUUUCGCAGCCUUUUUGUACAGUGCUAUGGAAUUCCUCCUGAAGCUACCCGAUACAUGCCGCAAGCUGGAACACUGAGAACCUCAAGGUGGAAGCCAAUUUCGCAGCCCUCUUGAGUGUCUGCGAAAUCUCGCAGACACCAUUUUCACCUGCGAAAUGUCCUUAGUGCUUCCUGAUAUUUGUGCACCGACUCUUUUAGAUCUUUUCUUCAGAUAUUUUUGUAUAAAUUUCCAUUCUUCUCCUUGUAAGCCACCAACCACAAGAUUUCUUAGCUAGGAAGGUUGGAAAAACUCCUCUAUAUAUAUUCCCUUGCAUCCAAUGUAAUCAUAUAUAUCAUAUAUAGAAUAUACAGAGCCUUGCUCUGUUUUUCCUUCUCUUUCAUUUUUCAUUUACUUUUCUUUCUAGCCAACCAAACUCUGAGGAUUUUUCCACAGAGGAUGAGAGGCUAAGCUUUUUGUCUCUUGGAGUGAGGAAAGCCGGGUAAGUUUCCACAUGCAUAAUUUGGAAGUUUUGUUGUUUUAGUUUUUAAUGAAGAGAAAGUGUGACCCGUUAGUGAUUUUUAUCUUUUUAGUUAACUUAAAACGCCUUUAAAUCACCUGGGCCAACACUUGGUAAGGCAAGUGAUUUCCAACCAUGGAAAUGCACUAGUUUACCCCUUGCGAGCCUUUGGGAGGUGACUUGAAGGUAGGAUUUUCUAGAAUAGCCAACACUUGGUAAGCUUUUGGACUCCUAGGAGACAUCCAUUAGUUAUCUCUUGCGAGCUUGAGAAGGGAAGUCCAAGGUUAAAGAUCACCUUGAAUGGUAAGUGCUCGUGAGAGGCAUGAACCAUUGCAAGUUGCAUCAGUGAGAGGGAUUUAGUGUUUGAAUCCAUUAAUGGGAAGCAUCUGUACAACACCGGUUGGAGAAGGAACUAUAUGUUAAUUCUCUAAUGCGAGGAAAAUAAACAAGUGACCGGAACCCUCCAUUUUGUAUGAGGAACGAGCCUAGUGAUCUGAACUCCAAGAAACAUCUUUUCUUUAUAAGUUAAAAUCAGUUACUAUUUUUAGUUAGCUUAAAACCAAACCUUUUUCAUUUAAACAUCUUUAUGUUUUCUUUUAAAGCUAACCUUGAAAUGAAAAGGCACCAAUUCAUCUUUGAAUUAAUAUCAAUUGUGAAGUGAAAACCCAUCCCAGUGAACGAUCCUAGAGCCACUAUGCUAUAGUAGCUUUGUCUUUGCUACCCUAGUAUAUGGUGUAAUAGGUUAUAAAUUUUGUUGAUCAAUCCCUCAAUCAAGGAGCACCAGCUGGACACGAAUCAGCUGAGACACCAAGUGGGCACGAAUCAAAUGGCGCCGUUGCCGGGGAUCGAACCCCGAAUCAGAUGGUGUCAUUGCCACUGCCGCUGCUAGGGACGAAUCAAAUGGCGCCGUUGCCGGGGAUCGAANNNNNNNNNNNNNNNNNNNNNNNNNNNNNNNNNNNNNNNNNNNNNNNNNNNNNNNNNNNNNNNNNNNNNNNNNNNNNNNNNNNNNNNNNNNNNNNNNNNNAAUUCAGCUUUGAAUUGAUAUCAUUUGUGAAGUGAAAACCCAUCCCAGUGAACGAUCCUAGAGCCACUAUGCUAUAGUAGCUUUGUCUUUGCUACCCUAGUAUAUGGUGUUAUAGGUUAUAAAUUUUGUUGAUUAAUCCCUCAAUCAAGGAGCACCAGCUGGACACGAAUCAGUUGAGACACCAAUUGGGCACGAAUCAAAUGGCGCCGUUGCCGGGGAUCGAACCUCGAAUCAAAUGGUGUCAUUGCCACUGCCGCUGCUAGGGACGAAUCAAAUGGCGCCGUUGCCGGGGAUGGUGCCACUUUACAGUGAUAUCACCUUUUCAGAGUACUUGUGAUCUUCAUCACAAGUUUGGUGACUUUUCUGUUCCUUUUACUAACUCUUUUUAUUUCUUUAUUGUUCAUAUUUUAGUAUACUUUUUAUUUAGUUUUUAGUUUACCUUAAUUUUCUUUCUUUGAAUUGUUUUUCUUUUGUUUUCUUUUGUGUUCUCUGUUUUUAAUUCACAAAUUGCUAGUUGUGCAUGCCAUAUUGAAUACCAUAGCAGAGGAAGCCAUGAACUUCAUGAGUUAUGUGGUUGAAGUUUCAAGAGGAUGGGAUGAACCAAAUGCUAGAGAUAUGGGAAGAAUGACAUCUCAACCUAAAGCUAAGGGUGAGAUGUAUAUUUUGAAUGAUGGUAUGAACAUGAAGGCAGAAAUUGCAGCUAUGGAAAGGAGAUUGGAAGAGCUAGAAAUGACAAAUAUGCAACCAGUGCAAGCCAUCUCUCAAACACCAUUGCAAGCUAUGCCUUGUGCCAUUUGUCGAUCAUAUGAGCACUUGGUGGAUGAGUGUCCUACCAUUCUAGUCGAGAGGGAAAUGUUUGGUGAUUGCAACACCUACAAUUCCAAUUGGAGGGACCAUCCAAAUUUCUCUUGGAAACCACAGCCACCUCAGUAUCAGCAACCUACUCAAACACCACAGCAAGCCUCAAACCUUGAACAAGCUAUGGUGAAUCUUUGCAAGGUAGUAGGAGAUUUUGUGGGAAAGCAAGAAGCCACCAAUGCUCGAGUGGAUCAAAGAAUGGACAGAGUGGAUCAAAGAAUGGACAGAAUGGAGAGUAUGUUGAACAAAAGAAUGGAUGAAAUGCAAAAUGAUAUGGCCCAAAAGUUAGAUAUUCUCCAAGAUUCAAUCUCAAGGUUAGCCAACCUCAACACAAUGCAAGAGAAAGAAAACUCUCCUUCUCAACCUUAUCAAAAUUCCAUGAGUAUCCAUGAAAUGGAGGCUAAGGAGGGAGAACCUUCACAAAAGAAGGAAAUUGAAGAAGUGAUCACUCUGAGGAGUGGUAAAGAGGUUGAUCUGCCCACAUGCAAGCUAGAGCAUAAGGUAGAGAGUGAAACAGAGAAAGAAAAGAGGGAGGAAAUCAAAGGAAAGAAAAAGGGGAAAAGCAUAGAGAAAGAUGGCUAUGAUGUUAAUGUACAAAAAGAAUCACAGAGGAUAGUCAUCAAGGAAGAAUUGAUGAAAAAACACAUGCCUCCACCUUUUCUCCAAGCUUUGUAUGGCAAGAUCAUACAGAGAAAGUCCCAAGUGGGAGAUGCAAACUUCAUAUGGGAUCCGGGCAAGCUAAAUCAGGAUCAAAUUUUUUGAUGGACUUAGUCUUUUUAAAGACUAGCUAGUCCAUAUCCUUUUGUUUUGUUUUUUUAGUUGUUUUAAUUUUAAUUUCAAUGCUUUAAUUUUGAUUUCAAUGCUUUAAUUCUGUUUGUUUUGAUGUAAUAUAGGUUUUUGGAUGAUCAAAAUCAAGAGGAAUUGCAAAGAAAUUGAAGAAAAAAAAAUCGGAGCAAAAUCGGAGCAAAAUUGGAGUCAAACGGAGCGAAAACAGGGGAAAAACAGGGGAAAAACAGGGGUCUGCGAGAUUUCGCAGCCUCUGCGAAAUCGGCAUUUUGUUGCCAAACCAUUCCGCAACACUGUAGAAGUCUCUGCGAGGGCAUUUCGCAGCUGCGAAACCAAAUUUGGCACACGAGUGCCACUUCGCAGCACAGGAGCCCCCAUUUCGCAACUGCGAAAGCGGCUGCGAACCACCAAAGCAUGAAAUCCUCCAUUUCGCAGGGAAAGCUCCAUUUGGCAGGGUAUUUCGCAGCUGCGAAAGUGAAUUUGGCACACGAGUGCCACUUCGCAGUACAGUAGCAUCCAUUUCGCAGCUGCGAAACGCAUUGCGAAGUGGUAAAGGCUGAUUUCGCAACAAAAGUCCCAUUCCGCAGGGUAUUUCGCGGCUGCGAAGCUGGUUUUGGCACACGAGUGCCAUUUCGCAGCACAGUGACCCUCAUUUCGCAGCUGCGAAAUGGCUGCGAAGUUCCAAAACGUGAAAAAUCCCAAUUUCACAGCCGCACCCAUUUCGGCAACUGUUGGACACAUCUCGAUCACUUCCCGAAGCUCAAAUUAUGCAUAUGAUAUCUCGUUUCAAAGCUUGGGAAGUCAGGAGUCCAUAGCUUCAAAUGGUGCUCGAUUUGGAUUUGAAACGGAAAAGUUAUGGCCGUUUGAAGAAGACUGUGCAAACCAUGAGCGGAAAUGUCGCACCUCAAUUUCGCUACUGUUGGACACAUUUUUGAAGCACUUCCUGGAGCUCAAAUUAUGCAUACAAUAUCUCGUUUCAAAGCUUGGGAAGUCAGGAGUCCAGCGCUUCAAACGGUAUGCGAUUUGGAGGUGAAUUGAAGAAGUUAUGGUCGUUUGAAGAUAAGCGCGCAAAGCUGAACGGGAAUUUCGCAACCGAGACGCCAUUUGGAAGGGUGUUUCGCAGCUGCGAAACCACUUUUUGGCACACGAGUGCCAUUUGCAGCACAGUUCCCCUCAUUUUGAAGCUGCGAUACACCUGUGAAAUAACCUUUGAGCUGCGAAAUCACUUUUAAGCUGAGAAAUGGGUUGCGAGAAUUCCCCUGCUCUACGAAAUCCACCCCCUGCUGCGAAAAUGCUCCAAGCUUCAAAAAUGGGCUGCGAAAUUGCUCAUUGCCUACGAAAUGAUCUCCAAGCUUUGAAAUGGUUGCGAAAUCACCUCCAAGCUUAGAAAUGGCCUUCAAAUUGCGAAAUUGACUUGUGAAAUGGAGGGUGAUUUGCAAAAACACCUUGCAAAGCCAAGGGAAGUUGCUAAAAUGCCAUCAGAGCCCUGCAACCAUGCAUAUGAAGAGGAGAGCCUCGCACACCCUGGGAUCACACACACAAAGUCUCUCACUCCAUUUCUGACCUCCUUAAACCAUCAAAUCUCAUAGCUCCAGCUGAGAGCUCCAAUUGAGGAGACUAUGCCACUUAAGGAGACUACUUGAACAGAGGCCAAAGUCCUGAUCCAACCCACUCAAGAGGCCAUCACAGACACAUCAGCUCCACAAGACCUUACCAUUACUUGAUCAUCUUUUUAUUUUUUUGUCUUUACAUAUUAUAUUAGUAUACAUAAUUCCAUGUUUUGAUGUCUUACAUUUUGGAAUUGGAUGUAUUACUGAUGAUACAUCAUACAUAGACAUCAAUUUUUGUUUAAACUUAGCAUUUUUCUAUUUCCUCUACUCACUAACUCUUAUGUUUUCUUUGAAACAUGUGGUUUCUCCUAUACGACUCAAACUCCAUGUCACUCAGGAGGUACCACUUCCUCCCUAUUUUUUAAUCGCUUUUGUCACAUUGAGGACAAUGUUCAACUUGGUUGGGGGGAGAGUUGAGGAAGUAAGUAUUGUUAAUAAUGCUAAGUUAUUUUGGUAAUUUAGUUGCUUUUUGCUUAAUUUUAAAAAUUUUUGCUUUAAACUCCAUGGAUAUUAAGGAUUAACUCUCAAAAUUAAAUGAGAGAAGUCAAGUUUCAACUUGAUUACAGGAGUCUUAGAGUUUGUAUUAUGCUCUUUUAAAAGUUGAUGAAUUGUUGAAACUCCCAUUGCAUGCAAACUUAUCUCUUCCACCUUAAGCUAUUCGCACACACAUACAUUAGAUUCCGGUUAUAAGAUGUGAAACUAUCUCACCCUCUAAGCUUGAGAAAUCAUAAUUUGACACCUUUAACCUCUCUUUAAUAGUGUUGGGACACCUCAUAAAGACCAAUGAGUCUUUGAAAAAAUAGAAAAAAAGAAAAAAGAAAAAGAAAAAAAAAAAAAAAGAAUAAACUUCUUUACUUGCCUUGAAACCUGAGCAUGGUCCGAAGGGGUGGCGAAAGCCUUUAAAGCCUGGUGCCCUAAGCCUUUAUUGGUUGGGAGUCACCGAUCCUCUGCUUGUUACAUGGGUGAAUUGGUUAAGUUUAGUAAGUGAAAAGAAUUGUGAAUAAGAGGUGCGUUCCUAGCCUAUCAAGAGAUGGUUAAUUUUACUAAGCUUAAAGAAAGACUUAGGUUGGGGGGAGAUGAUAGUUAUCCAUACUAUAAUCGGAAGCUAAUCACAUUAACACUUAGCUUUUAGUGGAAGAAUUUGAUUUGGAUCUUUUGAGAGUGGAAAUUCUUUUGAUGCUUAAACUUGCAUAAUAUCCAUUCUUUGUACUCUAAGAUCAAGUGAAUGCUUUGACAACUCUUAUUAUAGGUUGAGAUUCACAUCUUUAUUGAUCCAUGGAUGUCCAUCAUGCCACUCAUAUCAUUUUUUGGAGUGAUUUGCAUGAUCCCUUUUAUGUAUAUUAUUAUAGUUACUUAGUUUUUAUCUCCUUCAUUGCUAAGGGACUAGCAAUAUGUCGGUUGGGGGGAGUGAUUACUACUCAAAAAGUGCUAUUUCAUAGCUUGUAAUUAAUCCUUUUAAACACUUUUGAGUAGUAGUUAUUGCCUUUUAACCCAAUUAACAUGUUAACGAUCCUUGCAAUCAGUUUUGAUCAANNNNNNNNNNNNNNNNNNNNNNNNNNNNNNNNNNNNNNNNNNNNNNNNNNNNNNNNNNNNNNNNNNNNNNNNNNNNNNNNNNNNNNNNNNNNNNNNNNNNNNNNNNNNNNNNNNNNNNNNNNNNNNNNNNNNNNNNNNNNNNNNNNNNNNNNNNNNNNNNNNNNNNNNNNNNNNNNNNNAGUUGCAUCAGUGAGAGGGAUUUAGUGUUUGAAUCCAUUAAUGGGAAGCAUCUGUACAACACCGGUUGGAGAAGGAACUAUAUGUUAAUUCUCUAAUGCGAGGAAAAUAAACAAGUGACCGGAACCCUCCAUUUUGUAUGAGGAACGAGCCUAGUGAUCUGAACUCCAAGAAACAUCUUUUCUUUAUAAGUUAAAAUCAGUUACUAUUUUUAGUUAGCUUAAAACCAAACCUUUUUCAUUUAAACAUCUUUAUGUUUUCUUUUAAAGCUAACCUUGAAAUGAAAAGGCACCAAUUCAUCUUUGAAUUAAUAUCAAUUGUGAAGUGAAAACCCAUCCCAGUGAACGAUCCUAGAGCCACUAUGCUAUAGUAGCUUUGUCUUUGCUACCCUAGUAUAUGGUGUAAUAGGUUAUAAAUUUUGUUGAUCAAUCCCUCAAUCAAGGAGCACCAGCUGGACACGAAUCAGCUGAGACACCAAGUGGGCACGAAUCAAAUGGCGCCGUUGCCGGGGAUCGAACCCCGAAUCAGAUGGUGUCAUUGCCACUGCCGCUGCUAGGGACGAAUCAAAUGGCGCCGUUGCCGGGGAUCGAACCCCGAAUCAGAUGGUGUCAUUGCCACUGCCGCUGCUAGGGACGAAUCAACUCUAGUUAAGAAACCUUUAUUUUCUCUAUUUCUAUACCUUAGGUUAGAUUGUGGAAAACCUCAAAGUUAAAUCAAUUAAAUUAAAAAUCAAUAUUCGUUUUAUUAUUAAUUUAGCUUCUUUUACUUACUUUCACUUCAUAAAAGUUAAUUCACAUAUUGUUUUUCACUUUAGGAUUUAAAUAAAAACAAUUCAUUUAUCAUAGUAAUGACAAAUUCCAUAAGUUAGUCCCUAAGGAUAAUACCCAACGUAUUAUAAAAGCCGGAGUGACUAUUUCUCUGAUUUUUUCUUGACCAAAGUUGCUACAUAAAAAGGCUUAAUAUUUUAGAUAAUAGAGAAGAUUGGUCAAAUUGUGGAAAGAAGGGACAUUAUAAAAAUGAGUGCAAGGCUGCCAAAGAUAAGAAUGGUGACAACAAGACCAAUGAAAAUGUUGUUUCAGAAGAAUUAGAUGAUGCUCUUAUUUGCUAUUUGGAGAGAACAACAAAAUCGUGGGUAUUAGAUUCAGGGACAUCAUUCCAUGCUACCUCAAAUGGAGAAUUAUUUGAGAAUUAUGUCUCAAGUAAUCUAGGGAAGAAGUAUCUAGGUGAUGACCAAGCAUGUGUUGUUAUUGGCAUAGGUGAAGUGUGGAUCAAAUUGAAUGGAUUUGUAUGAAAUUUAGACAACGUGAGGCACAUUUCAAACCUCAGAGAGAAUUUUAUUUCCAUUAGGUAGUUAGUAAAAGAUAGCUAUGUGACAACUUUUGUAGGUGACACAUGGAAUAUCUCAAAGGGAGCUAUUUUCCAUGGCAAGAAGAAUGAUACUCUUUACAUGACAAUGGAUGGUUGUGAGUUUAUUGCAGUUGUUGAGAGCAAAGAAGAUUCGAAUUUAUGGCAUUAGAGGUUUGGUCACAUGAGUAAUGAUGGGCUGGAAAUUAUACACUCGAAUGGGAAGUUGUCAAGUUUGAAGUAAGUUGAUGUUAACAUGUGUGAAAGUUGCAUACUUAGGAAACAAAAAAGGGUUAGCUUUAAUAAAGUUGGAAGAACUCUAAAGGAAGCAAAACUGAAGUUAGUUCAUACAAAUGUUCGGGGACUUGCUUCAGUUUCAUGUAUCGGUGAAAGAUCCUAUUUUGUGACCUUCACUGACGAUCAUUUGAGGAAAGUGUGAGUAUACUUUAUGAUACACAAAUGAGAAGUAUUUGAUGUAUUCAAGAGAUGGAAAAUAAUGGUGGAGAAUAAGAAAGGUAUGAGAGUGAAGAAGUUGCGGUUUGAUAAUGGUAGGGAGUAUGAAGACUUUGAGUUUAAGAAGUUCUAUUAUAAAAAUGGAAUUAAAUUGGAGAAGACCAUGCCAAGGACACCUUACCAGAAUGGUAUAACAGAAUGAAUGAACAAGACAUUGAUUGAAAGAGAAAAAAAAUGUGUAUACAAGCAAGGUUGUCAAAGGAGUUCUAGGUAGAAGCAAUCAACACAACAACUUACUUGAUCAAUUGAGGACCGUCAACUUGAUCACAAAAUACCGGAAAAAGUGUGAACUAGAAAAACGGUAAAGUUUUCUCAUUUAAGGGUAUUUGGUUGUGUAUCAUAUAUAUAUAUGUGUGUGUGUGUGUGUGUGUAUACAUAUUAGUGAUCAUGACAUAAACAUACUUGAUGCUAAAUCACUAAAAUGUACUUUCAUUAGCUAUGGUGUUAAUGAUUUUAGUUAUCAGUUUUGGGAUGACUAUAAUAGGAAAGUGAUUAGAAGUAGGGAUGUCAUAUUUAAUGAGAAAGUUUUGUAUAAGUAGAGAGAUGCAACACAUUCCAAUAGUCUGGUACAACCUGAACUUAUUUACUUUGAGCUAGAUGAUGUCCCAUAGAAUAACAUGACAAAUAAGACAAGUCAGAAUCAUAGAUUGAGGAAAAUACUACAUAGGAUGUUAAUAUAUCACAAGAUCUAGUUUCAAUUCCUACUUUGAGGAGAUCCAAUAGGCCACAUGUACCAAAUAGGAAAAAUUUAAAUUAUUUGCUACUAAUAGAUGGAAGUGAACCUAAAUGUUAUGAUGAGGCACAUCAUAUGGAAGAUAAUAGCAAGUGGGAGCUUACAAUGAAAGACGAAAUGAAGUCUCUUAUUCUUAACCAAACUUGGAAGCUAAUCAAGUUACCGGUGGGUAAGAAAGUUGUUCACAAUAAGUGGGUGUAUUAAAUUAAGUAGGAGCAUGAUGGUUCUAAGAUACAUGAGGCUAGAUUGGUGGUCAACGGGUUUUAGCAAAAAAAAAUGGUUGACUAUACAUACAUCUUCUCUCUAGUUGUGAAACUAACUAUUAUUUGAUUUGCUUUGAGUAUUGUAGUGAUAGGGAGUCUACAUAUAGAGCAAUUAGAUGUGAAGAUAGCUUUCCUCUAUGGUGAUUUGGAGGAGAAAAUUAAUAUAUAUGCAACAACUAGAGGGUUUUGUAGUGAAGGGUAAAGAGAAUGUGGUGUGCAAAUUAACUGAGAGUUUGUAUGGUUUAAAACAAGUCCCAAGACAUUGGUAUAAAAUAUUUGGCGAUUUCUACAAAAGAAUGGGUAUCUCAAGUGCAAUGCAGACCAUUGUUGUUACUUCAAAAAGGUUGGUUCUAUCUGUAUUAUUUUGUUACUGUAUGUUGAUGACAUGUUAGUAGCUGACACAAAUUUAGAUGAAAUUAACAAGUUGAAGAAAUAGUUGUCUAGUGAAUUUGAAAUGAAGGACUUGGAUGCAACAAAUUAGGUACUUGGGAUGAAGAUUAACAGAGAAAAAUAAAUGGGCAUUUUGUGGUUAUCUUAGGCUAAGUAUAUAUAUUCAUAAAGCAUUGCAAAGAUUGGACAUGAGUAAUGUUAAGGCAGUUAGAACAUCAUUAGCAAAUCAUUUCAAGUUGUCUAAUUAAACAUUGCCCAUGGGCAUAUGAGGAAAGAGACUUCAUGGCUAAGGUCACAUAUGCCUUAGCCAUUGGAAGUUUGAUGUAUGUUAUGAUAUGCACGAGACUAGACAUUGCCUAUGCAAUGGAAGUUGUGAGCAGAUUUAUGCCAAAUCCAAGUAAAUAGCAUUACGAAGCAGUGAAAUGGAUGCUUAGGUACUUACAGGGUACUACAAAAAACUGUCCAUGUUUCAGAAGGGGUGAGUUAAAAUUGCAAGGAUAUGUGGAUAUUGAUUUUUCCAAUGAGAUAGAUAAUUGGAAAAGUACUAUAGGGUAUGUGUUCACUUUGGGUACUACUGCUAUUAGUUGGAUUUCUCAAUUGCAGAAGAUUGUUGUUUUAUCUACAAUUAAAGUAAAAUAUGUGGCUAUGACAUAAGCUAGUAAAGAAAUGAUUUGGUUGUAGAGUUUGUUAGCAAAGUUGGGAUUCAAACAAGAUAUGAAUGUUUUGCAUAGUAAUAGUCAAAGUGCAAUACAUUUGGCUAAGUAUUCAGCAUUUCAUUCAAGAACUAAUUAUAUUACACUUCGUUAUGUACUUCAUCAGGCUUUUGCUUAAAGAUAGGGUGUUAACACUUGUGAAGAUACAAGGUAGCAAGAAUCUAGUUAACAUGUUAACCAAAAUAGUGAUAACAGAAAAACUUGAGUUGUGUACAACUUCAAUUGGUCAAGAGUGAGAAUAGGUUGUUUGAGUGCACCCUCAUACCCAUUAAUCAUUGAAGGACAAUGUUUACUUGUGGGCUCUCUUGAGAAUUUAUUUAUUUAUUUUUAUGUAAUGAUUGACGAUUUUAACCUUAUUAUAUAUUUUAACCUUUUUAUGUUUUAGGGUUUUAUUUUUUAAUGAGUGUAGUCGCAAUUAAGAGGUUUUUUGAAAGUUUUGUCAUUUCCUUCUCAUUCCUUUUGUAGUGAAUUGUUGAGUGUUGGUGUACUCCAUUGAUGUAGGGAUCAAAUUGAUUGUCAAACCAUGAUAAUUUUUUUUUACCUCUGCUUAUACAUGUGUGUGUGAUUUGGUUAACAUCAUUUAUCUUAAUAAUUCUCUUCCUGGAAUAGGAAGAAAAUGAUGAUUCCAUUAAUGCAGCAUGCAUUGCUGCUUAUUUAUCAAGCAAAUUACAUUAUAAUUUUCACACCAAACCUCCAAAUUCACCAUGUACUUAUCCUAUAUAUUGCAUGGUGAACUACAGAGAACUAAAACAAGCUCUUCUUGAUUAAAGAUAGAUAAUGUCCUACUGACUCUUUUACUCCGAUGCCUUGAAAUGAGAAAUUUGGAGGUUUUCCACAUCAAGCUUCUUGAGAUUACUGCGCUUUCUCGUAGCAAAGAACUUUCCCCAGUUGUAUGCUCUAUACUUUGGUUUUCCCCCCUUCGUCAGCUCCUCCAACGGCUGCACCCAAAGAUGGUGCGCGGGAUUGGAAAAAAACGGAAUCGAGAACCUUUCCCUCUCUGAAUUCAGUAUCACUCUGUGCUCUACACUCUCAUAAGUGUCGUUGCUCCAAACCUGGUUUAAUAUCAGUAUAAUUAGUGGGUGCAAAAUUCGGUGAGCGAAAGAACUGAUAAGCAGGUACUUAUAAAUCAAAGUUCUUGGGUGGUACCUGAAUUAUAUCCCCAACAUUGAUGAUAUAAGCAUCUGGGGUGGGCUUCACUCGAAUCCAUUCUCCAUCGGUUUUUCGCUUUACUUCCAACCCUCCGACAUCAUCCUGGCCAAGGAUGGUUAAGGCUCCGGGAUCCUUGUGGCGACCAACGCCCAGAGCUAGGUGAGGGACAGGGCAAGGUGGGUAGUGAUUGAGGCGGACGAAGCUCGUUGAUUCUUCAAAGAAAAGAUUGAAUCUGUUUUCUGGCAAACCUAAGCUCAGAGAGAUGAGUCCCAUCAGCUUGAAAGCUAGUUUUUCCGUUUCUCUAGCAUAUUCUUCACAGAUCUCCCUGUAUAAAUCAGUUCAAUUAGAAUAAAAAAAACCAAGUAAUUCACUGAAGUGACUGUGCCUUAGCUGGUGAAAUUUGUACCUUAAUUCAGGAGGGUACUGAGGCCACCGAUUGGUCAGCUCUAUGAGCUCCUUGUCGUCAGGAUCAUCCGAAGCAGGGCCGAAGGCGAGGGUUCUCACCACGAAAUCAAAGACUUCUUUCCAGUCCCUAACGUUCUUGGUAUGCUCAAUAUCAAAGUACCCCAUAGGAUUCACCUCAUCUCUACUCACCUUCCUCUUCUCCUCCGCUGGCAGAGCGAAGAACUUCCUCGCGGCAUCCAAAAUUUUCCGGCGAGACUCCGAGGGCACCCCAUGGUUGAUGACUUGAAAAAAGCCCCAGUUCUUGCAUGCAUCAGCUAUUUGAGAAACAUGAUUGGAAGCAUUGGCGGAAGAGAGAUCAAUGAGGGGGAUGCCUUCAGCUUCGAUAACAGCGAGCUUAGGCCUAUGUUGGGCGUCUUGGACGAAGGCUGGAUCGACCUCUCCCAUGGCUGUGGUAGUGGUUAGAACUUAGAAAUGGCAAUUAUGCACUGGUAGCUGCAGGUGAAGAUGGUUACAGGACUUGGGCAACUCGGCAGGUGGUUUUUAUAGCUUAGGGGUGUUGGUUUAAUACCUUGAACCUGGACAUAAUAUGGGUUACGUGUUAAGUUUUAGUUCGGGGUGUGAGCUCAUGGAUUGCGCAUAUGUUAAUGAGAUUUGGUCAAGUGAUACCUAGCUAUUUCCAAAAUCUCUGUCAAUGAUUUAUUCACGGCACCCUCAAUUUUCAAAUAUUUCAUCCGUACUUGAUUUGGAAGGUUGAUUAGUAAAUCUGAUGGUGUAAUGUCUAUUUUUGAAUUCAAUGCUUUAUAUUUAACGGUGGAGAUAAGAAAAAUAGAAGAGUUGAUAACGUUGAAGAAAAAAUGCCAAAGUUUUAAGAAGGUAGAGUUUUGAUGAGAAAUAGGUAAAAUUAAAAUUGCAUUAUAAUAAUAUAAUUGAAUCAAAUCGUUAAUCACCCAUUUCAUCUCAUUCUUAUUCACAAUUGUUGAUAGUUGAUUCCUACAAAAUUCUAAAAAAAUCUUCCACAAAGACAAAUCACAAGAUGUUCAAUAACUAUGCUUUUGCACCAAAAAUUGUAUAAGGGAAAAAAAAAUGAUGCACAAAUAAUAAUAAUAAUAAUAAUAAUUGCUAUAUCUAAUAUUAUUUCAUAAGAAAACUAACUACAAUAAAUUUUAAAAGCAAAUAGCGUUUAACCAUAUUUUGAUUCUUUCAAAUAAUUUUUAAAAUUAAUAUUUUUUCAAUAUAAAAUUUUAAGAGUCUUUGUAUUUUAUAUAUAAAUUACUAAUAUUCUCUUAUUUUAAACAUAGAAAAUAAAAAUGUAACCAAAUGAAUUAGAAAAUAACAAAGUUGAAUAAAAAUUAGUCUAACCAUAUUAAUGCUAAUUAAUAAUGUUUGAUAGAAAACGCUUAAAUAUACCUUGUAUUUUUCCUCACUGGUCAACUCCUCCGAAGGCUUCACAUUCACCUGGUGUGUCGGUAAGAAGAAGAAUGGAAUCGAAACCCUUUUCUUCUUGUGUUGACCCACAUCGAGAUCGAGCUGUGUCUUUACAUCUUUAGUUGAGUUUGUUCGACUUUAAGUUGUGCCUUUAUGUUUCGAGUUUAGUUUGUUCAAUUUCGAGUUGUGCCUUUAUGUUUUGAGUUGAGUCUAUUUGGCUUCGAGUCACACCUUUAUGUUUCGAGUUAAGUCUCGCUUCGAGUCACACCUUUACGUUUCAAGUUGAGUCUCUUUAGCUUUGAACUGCACCUUUAUAUAUCUAGUUGAGUUUGUUUGACUUUUGAGUCGUGCCUUUGAGUUUUUAGUUUAGUCUGUGCGGCUUCGAGCCACACCUUUAUGUCUCUUGUUAAGUCAUAUUUGGCUUCGUUCUACACCUUUAUUGUUCAGCUUUGAGUCAUGCCUAUCUUUUCAAGUUUGUUAUGCUUCGAGCCACAUCUUUAUCCUUAAAAAGUUUGUUUGAGUUUAGUUGUGCCCUCACCCAUAUCCUUAGUUUUAAGUUUAUUUAGCUUCAAGCCAUGCGUUUGUCCUUGUUAAGUCAGUUCGGCUUUGAGCCAUGUCCUAGUUUUGAGUUUGUUCAUCCUCGAGCUGUAUCUUCCUUUCUUUUUUAGUUCAUUUAGGGUUUUCUCCUUUUGAGUUGAUCACUCCUUAUCUUGGUCGUCCUUAAAUUGUUCAUUGUGUCAUGAUUCAGUGUUUUUCAUUGCAUAUAUACUCCCCACAUUGUCUAUAUCUUUAUCUUGAUGAGUUUCUUCUCCAAUACAUGACCUCGAUCUUCGAGUUUAGCAUGUCAUGUGCUAAGACAAUUUCAAGUGCUCUUUUGUUCUUUGAUGCAAUUCACUUCAUACUAUUCAUCACUCAUGUUUCACUAUUAAUGCUCAUUUCAUUUGUGAUCUACAUCGGAGAGAGGCAUAUUUGUAGGUCCUUUAUUUUGUCCUAUAACACAUAUUUUCACAUUUUUUUUAUUUUUUUCUUGCCUUGUAUUUAUUUUUGGUGCUAGUUUUGGAUCAUUCUUACUUGAUCAUUCAUGGUCCCUUUCUUGUCCACUUUUACUCGACUCAUUAUUCAUUUUUUAGCCACAUUUUAGAGGCCAUGUUGGAGGAAUUUUGAGUCCAAGCUUAUUGUUUUUUAGAGACCCUUAGUAGGUGGCUCAUAUGAGGACACGUGUCCUCAUUGGGUAGGUUUUUUCAUUUUUUAAGAGGGGUUUUCUAGAGGCUUCUAGGGUACUGAGGACACUGUUCUCAUCUUGGCCCCCUUUUUUUUUUUUUCUUUUUUUUGUCCCUUGUUAGAGGGGUUUUCUAGAGGCUUCUAGGAUCAGCUAGGAGAGCACGUUGAUUGAUGCUUUGAUAUGGGUAACAGAUGCCACAUUUCAUCUUGCUGAACACCGGUUAGCUAUGGACUUGUUACUACUUUUCUCUUCUGUUUCGAGUUAACUUUGGAAAUGAAUCUGAAUAUAGACUGGUAUUUGCAGCUUGAUGUUUAGAGAAUCAUAUUUUAGCUGUUGUUUAAAAUUCAUUUUGGCAUGUUCGGUUGCUUCAAGCUCAUUGAUACAAUAAUGAAAUGAAGCUUUAUAUAUUUGUUACUGGGUUGGCUCUCUGUUUGGUUAUCUUUAAGUUCUGCAUCUUUUCUUUUCUCGUUGCCUUAUCUUCUCUAGGGGGUGUCGUUUGAGAAAUACAUAGUGGAAGAAAUGGGAAGCUGAAGGCUUAUCCUGGCAUCGACCUCGCGUUAGGGAACGACUUGAUCGAAGAACAUAUGAGUUUUUCAGAUACCCAGAACUCACAUCAAAAGAAGCCUCGGAGUUUAGGUCAAACACAUCAUCUGACAAGGAGUAUACCUUUGCCUCUGGUGAUUUUAUUGACUUCUGCAUGAUGGACAUCCGAGGGUGGGGACUGGAAGAGAAAUGAUGAAUCUGCCCGGCCAAGAUAGUUUGUCUAGAAAGGAACUUGUAUUAAAUGAUGGUUACCCACUAUGUUAGAUGCUGAAAUUUGGGUAUGAGUACUCCCGGUGGCAUCAGAAAGAUGAGUUGCACAAUCCUUCUCACAGUAGAAAGCCUGAACUCCGAAGUUGGGCUUUUUCAUGGCCGGACAAGAGGAGUGAUCACAAUAGUGCGAGCAAAGCCUGUCACGACCCAAAUUCUGGGUGAACUUAAGGUUUGACUUUUAAGGGUUGUACCUAUUCAAUCUACCAAUCAACCUUUGAUAACUUGAUUUUUUUUUCUCGAUAAAACAAUAUCUAAUCCCAAAUCAAUUUAUUAAGCUAAUAACUUGAUUUUUUUUUUUUUCAAUAAAACAACAUCUAAUCCCAAAUUAAUUUAUUAAGUUAAGAUUUACACUAUCAUAUUAUUUUAUUUUAUUUUUCAAAAAUCAAUCAUUACACUAUCACUUAUUCACAAGUAUAAUAAAUCUCUCAAACAUCUUAUCACCCAAAAUGAUAAGCCAAACAUUUACAAAAAAAAAGUUUUACAAAUUAAUAAAAUAUAGUGUAAGUUAUAAAAGUUCUUAUAAAUCAAAUUAAUAGUGCUAAAAUAUAAUAUAAUUGAAAAACAACUAUUAUUAUGGUUCUUUUACUUUUUGGAAUACUUCUUAUGGUUCCUUAAAAACUAUAUCUGCAUCUAAAAAUUUUAGAAAAUAAAAGGAUGAGUAUUUCCACAUUACUUAGUAAGGUGUUUUACGCCCACACAAAAUAUAAAUUCUAAUUCAAUAAAACACAAUCAUAUAUCAAAGUGUAAUUUUACAUCUAAUGUACUACAACUAUAUACAUUUAAACUAUUCAAAAUUAUCACUAACUAUAAUCAGACUCCAAAUAAUAUAAAUAAUAUUUAUUUUCUCCCAAAAACAUAAUAUGUAAUUUUGUUUCAAAAAAAAAUAUUAAAUAAAAGUUUUAGGGUUAAACCACCCUACAUUAAAUCUGAAAAUCUAACUGUUAAAACUAAAAUCAGAUUCCGUGAAAAUGUUCUUUACGUUAAAUAGAGUGUUCUAAAAUCUCAUACAAAACGGAGCUCAUUAUUUCUUCUCUUCCUUUGUGUUUCCGUUUGCGCUCUCUCUUUUAUAUUCUUCUUUCUUACCCCACAAGACAUUCCUAUUAUUAUUAUUUUUUUUCAUUUUUCUUUUCUCUCUCUUUUCAACUUUAAGCCACCGUUUUGCCCCUUUUUUUUUUUUUUUUAUUAUUCUUUAUCAACCAUACCUUGUUAAGAAAUUUAUUUAUUUUAAUCCAAAAAUCUACUUAAAUAUAAUUUCACAUUUUUCUUAAUAAAUUAUAUAUAUAUAUAUAUAUAUAUAUAUAUAUAUAUAUAUAUAUAUAUAUAUAUAUUAUUUCUUAUUAUAACAAAUUUAAAAUGUCACGCGUAUCAUUUUUUUAAUGAAUCAAAUUAUUAUUAUUUAUUUCAUAUUCUAUAAUUAUAAAUUAUACUCAAUAUAUGAUUUACUGUCUUACAAAAAAUAUUAUUAUAUUCUUAAUUAAAUUUACUACAAGUCUACUUUUUUUAAAAAAAAUAAUUUGACUUUAAUCACUUAAAAUAUUUUUAUUAUGAAAUUCAUUUAGGACAUGAUUUCAUUAAUUAUAUAUUAAAAAAAAAUUCAAUUUUAGAAAAAAUCUAAAGCAUAAAAUAAUUCUUCAACAUUAAGAAGCUAGAAUUCAUAAUAAUAUUUAAUCCUUUAAUUUUACCAAUAUUUAUUUACCAAUAAAAUUUAAGCAAUAUUCUAAAACUUAAUUCCAUUAGUUAUUUAGUCAUUCAAUUUAUACAAAUCAUAUUCUCAACCUUUGAUAUAACUUUUAUUUAAUUUACUUUAUUUUUCAAAUUUCUCAAUUGAAUCAAAAUUUCAAAAGUUAAAUUCACUAAGUAUUUAAUUAAUUUAGCCUUUUAUAUUCCCUAAAUUCAUAUAUCAUAAUUUACUCUUAAUUUAAUUUCAAUUCAAUUUUAUUUGAUGUUUUUUUAAUUCUAUAAGAUUUAAUUCUAAUUAUAAAAUUAUUGAUUUGUUAUAAAAUUAAAUUCGAUUUUUUUUAAUUAUCCAUUAUAACCAUUUGAUAUGAUAUAAAUUUUUACCAAGUUUUUCUCACUACAAUUCUCUAUAAUUAAAUUAAUGCUCAUAAUAUACUUAAUAUUCAAUUUUUCAAAAAUAAUAUCAAUAAUUAUUUGAUGGUUGAAUUUUUCUCCAAAUUUAAAUUUAUUUUUUAAAAUUUCUACUCUUUGCAUCUUACCUAAGAAAAUUUUAUACUAUUGACUUUUUAUUAACUUUUUCAAAAUAUUAACACUUGGAUUUUCGCCAUUCUUUUUUACUAUUCGACUAUAUGAUAACUUUGCUGAUCCUGAAUCUGACAUGUCAUUAAAACCCCGGUUGUUAUAGCGCCAGUCAAAUUAAGCCUGUUAUCCGAGGAGUGAAGCCACUGCCUUGUUCUUUCUCCGAUGGCCUGCUCAGCUCAUUCAAUCCCCAUCGCUCUCCUCUUUCCAAGUUCUCCAUUGUCAGUCUAGAGCCAACAAGGGUCGCAGAAAUCCUAAAGAUUGACCUACAUGGUAUUGUGAGUACCGCGAUGUGGAUGUUCUUAAUGUGUUGUCUACUAGAGCCAAAUGGGUGUUUGAUAAAACCCAGUAAAGGUGUAAAAAUUAUAUGACGAAGCUUGCAGAAAGACUUAGAGUUGAGGGAAGGCAUCUCAACGAAGUUGGGCUUUUGUAUUGUGAAUCUGGCAAAUUACCUAUAUUGCAUGGAUCAUCACUCUUUUCACGUGGAGGUAAACAGGUCCUUUGUAAUGUGACACUUGGGGCAUCACAAGCUGGUGAUGCUCAACGACUGGCUUCUCUGGACGGUCCUGCAACAAAGCGCUUCAUGCUUCACUGAAAUUUCCCGGAGUUCUCAAUUAAUGAAGUUGGCCAACUCCUUAACCUGCACUGUUCCGCAGCAGUCACAUAAAGAUUUGACAUUGAAAUUGAUCUGGUUUUUCCUUUGCCAAUGGUGGUGGGCGCUUUGUAUGUAGAUUCCGAAGGAACUUCCCAACUUGAUGGCUGUGAGUGGUAAGGUUGGAGAAGAUACUACUGGGUCUGCCCCAUUAGUUUUCCAUUGUUAAGGUAGUUUGGUGCACAGGUUCCUGGAUCAUCUACACCACUAGCACUUCCGGCCGCCUGUUUUGAUCAGUUUCUGGAUUUCCAUCUCCAAAUUGUGCAAGCAGUGACUGAUAUGGUGUCCAUACAAGCGGCUACUGAAAUGGUUCAAUCCCCAAAUGCUGAAGGGAAAGGAGCUUUUGGAAAAUAUCAUGAAGAAGACUCAUCCAUCUUACAUGAAAUUAUACACAACUCCAUGGACCAGAACCGGAACUCAGACUUAAAUUUGUCCACGAGAAGAUCAGUGUUAUACAAGUCAACUGCAGUCAUUCCUGAAAGAAGUGAUCAGAAGAGUAAACCUGGAAAAGCAGUGAGUGUAACAAGUUUUGUGACAUUGAACAAUUUGCAGAUGGUGUUCCCACAAGCUCCUUUCCCCUCUUCCCACGUGCAUGAAAUUCCUACGUGCAUGGGCCACCUUCUUAGGUGUGCAAUUCUGCGCAUAAUGCUCAAGUGUACUACCACCCUCUUCUUUUUUGAAAAAUUGAUUUUAAAUUUAAAUUUUUGACAAAAUUCAUUCCCCUUUUAAAAUCCCUCCUCAGUAAUUCUCUUCAAAUUAAUAAAAUCUAUUUUCAAUAAAUUUUUGCUGCCAUUUUCCUUUCGGCAUGGACCCUUUUUCUAUUUUCUUUGAUUUUUAAUAAUUUUCCAAUUUUUUUUAAUAAAUAUGAAUAAAUUCUAUGUUUUUAAAAAUAAUGGAAUUUUCUCCAAAUUUCUAUUAUCUUUUUCUCCAUGAUCAUUAGGAAGAUGAAAUUCCUAAAAUUAAUUCAUGCAAAUAAAUUGGACAUUGGUAGGCCCAACAUAUGAUUUUUUCUCCUUUGAUUAUUGUUUUUAAUUGCUAGGCUUGAUUGACUAACGAUUGAUCUUUGCCUUCUCCCUUAGCUUACUGCUCAAGUACGUUCGUCCUUUCUUUGCCUCUUUGUUUAAUUAUAGUCAAUGUUUUCAAAAUCGGACCGAUCAUUGAAUCGGAAAAGUUACUGGUUCACAGUUCACUAGUCGAAUCGGUGGUCGAACUGCGGUCGAAUCGAUGACGUCAUAAAUAUAUAAUUUAUAAAUUAUUAAAAUUAAAAAUAAUUAUAAAAAUAAAAAAAAUAAUUUAUAUGUUAUUUGAAAAUUUAAAUUUUAUUUAAAAAUAAGAAAAUUAGUUUCAAAUUAGAAAUUAAAAUUAAAAUCAUAAUUUUAAAUUUAAUUUUAAAAUUUUAAAAUUCAUUUUUAAAUAAAAACUUAUUUUAAAAUCAUGAAUUUAUUUAAAAUUAUAAUGUUUUCAUUAAUUUAAAUUAAAAUCAUAAGUUUUAAACAUCAUGAAAUAAAAAUAAUAAAUAUAAAAGAAAAUAAAUAAUAAUGAAAUGAGGUAAUAAAUAAUUAAAAAAAAAAUGGAAAAAGAGAGGAGAGGAGCACACAAAAAAGGGUUCCAACGGGGUUUUGGGGGGUGGGGUUUCCACUUUUAGGGCUAGGUGGGGGGGCCUUCCGAUGGGCAAAAAGGGGAAGAGCUUUUCGGCUUUUCCAGCGCGCGCGGGUGGGGGUGGCGACAAUGGGAAAAAAAAAAGUUGAAUCGGACGAUUCCAUCUGAAUAAUCCGGUUCAUUGGUCGGACCACCGAUUUAAUUGGUCCAAUUCUGGUCUAACCACUUUCUAGCCCAAUUGAUCAGACCAGACCGAAAUCAUGACUGAUUGAUUCGGUCCAAUUUUUAAAACCAUAAUUAUAACUCAAUCAUAAUACAUCAUUGAUCAUUACUUGGUAUUUGUUGACUUUCUAAUCAAUUGUCAUUCUUAUAUUAACUUGAUUAUUAGAGACUUGAUUUUAGGGUAUAGAGGGGUGUUAUGACUAAUCAUCCUACCUUCUCGAUAAGUAACCUGACCCUUGAACCCAAAUUCAGUUUUUCAUAAACUUGUCUUUUUCUUUCAAGUUUCAUACUUAGAAUUUUCAUUUUUAUUUUGUUUUCCAUUUAAAAAUAAAAUAAAGAUAAGUGGCCUAAAACCAUUUUCUAAAAAUCAAUUUUUCAUCAAUGCAAAGUGAGUCUUGUCCUUUUUUUUUCAAGUACGAACACGAUCGCAGGUUUACAAUACUAUUUUAAUAUAUAUAAUGAAAUAUAGAUAUUAACGCCAUCUUAAAGAUAUAAUUAAAUUUUUUGUUUAAAAUAAAUUAUAAUAAUUUAAAAAUAAUAUUUUAUUUAAAAUAAAUUUUAGAAUAAGCAAAGUUGAUAUGUGGACAUAGAGAAUCGUGAACCAUUGUAAAUGUAUUGAUUAUAUCUCUUUCUUCCCAUUUCAUUUUUACUUUAGUUUUUAUUAUUCGUAUCUUUUUCUACUAAAAUUUGAAAAAGAAAUUCACAUUCAAUUCAUUCACUUCUUCUUGGGUGUAUAUCAUAGGAUUCAAAAUGUUUUUAAAAAUUAUUAAAUUUGUUAAUUGUGACUACAUGCUUAUUUAGGAUCCAUUGAUCUUAAUAACUUUCUUCCCGAUAAAGGAGGAAAAUGACUAUUCCAUUAAUGCAGCAUGCAUUGCUGCUUAUUUAUCAAGCAAAUUACAUUAUUUUUUUCACACCAAACCUCAAAAUUCUCCAUGCAUAUACGCAUCCUAUACUGCAUGGCCAACUUCAGAGAGCUAAAAGAAGCUCUUAUUGAAUACAUGAUAGAUAAUGUCCCACUGACCCUUUUACUCUGAUACCUUGAAAUGAGAAAUUUGGAGGUUUUCCACAUCAAGCUUCUUGAAAUUAUUGCGCCUUCUCGUAACAAAGAACUUUCCCCAGUUGUAUGCUCUAUACUUUGGCUUUUCCCCCUUCGUCAGCUCCUCCAAGGGCUUCACCCAAACAUGGUGCCCGGGACUCAAAACGAACGGAAUCGAGAACCUUUACCUCUCUGAAUUCUCCAUCACCCUGUGCUCCACACUUUCAUAAGUAUCGUUGCUCCAGACCUGGUUUAAUAUCAGUAGAAUUAGCCAAAUGAGUGUAAAAUUCCUUGAGCCAAACAGUACUGAUAAGCAUGUACUUAUAAUUCAAAGUUCUUGGGUGGUACCUGAACUAUAUCCCCAACAUUGAUGAUAUAAGCAUCUGGGGUGGGCUUAACUCGAACCCAUUCUCCAUCGGUUUUUCGAUUUACUUCCAACCCUCCAACAUCAUCCUGAGCAAGGAAAGUUAAGGCUCCGGAAUCCUUGUGGCGACCAACGCCCAGAGCUAGGUGAGGAAUGGAGCAAGGUGGGUAGUGAUUGAGGCGGAUGAAGUUUGUUGAUUCUUCAUUCAGGGAUUAUUUCAUCCCUUUUAACCAAAUAUUUAACAUGAUCAAAGACUAUUCCCUAAAUGAAGGCAUACUGUAGCAAAUACCCUUAAUCUGAACAUUGAAAGUACAACUUAAACUAGUAUCAAACACUCUGUUUUUAAACCCAUAGCUACUCCAAAUAUCCCAAAUACUCUUUUCUAUGUAACCUCUCUUUGUCUCUUUCUCGCUCACACACACAUGCUUCCCCACAAAAAUACAUACACACAUAGAGAAGAACACAAUCUCUUAUCCGAUUCCCUUCCGAUUUAUGAUUCUAAGCUGGCGGGUCACUCUCUUAUUCUUUUGCUUUCUUGCGAUGGAGCUCCAUGCUCUCCUUUCCUCAUUUUUUUUCUUGGAUAAAUACUCUAUAAAACAUCCUCUCUCGAUGCUCUAUCUAAACUCACUUGCUCAUUUCACAUUUUUUUCUUUUUGGAUGCUUUCUUUAUGCUCCCAGGCAUAUGCCAGUUUUUUAUGACUAUUUUUGAAGUUGGGAUUCAGAAUUCACUAAAAUCUUUUCUCAAACUUGGAUUUUUCUCAACUCAACCCUAACUUCUUUUCUAUCAGUACCAAGGCUAGAGAAUAUAGUUUAUACCCUUGUAUUUCGUUAUGUACCAAGCCCACAAGAUGAUCAAUAAGUUUCUCUCUAGAUUUUACAUUGGAGUUGAUUGAUGACAUACCCUUAUUAGGUACUAUAUUCUCUUCCUUAGGUAUUGCUUUUUCCUUCCUUAGAUACUACCUUUGCAACCUUGGGUGCACGAUCGAAUCCAUCGUUUCAUGGCCACUUCAAGUAAGUCAGGAACUUAUGUACAUGUGUGCUACAUGUCUUAUAGGUAUUACCUUUACAUUCUGUAGGUACUACCUUUACCUUCCAUAGGUACAAAUAUGAUUAAUAAUAAGAAUUUUAACAUAAAAAAGGGAAAAAUCAUGUCUGAUAAUAAAAUUGCAUAUAUUUUCUUUCUUGCUUUUUUUUUUUUUUUUGGGUCUUUGCUUUGGUUUUUAUUUAUGUGUUUGUUUCUUUUAGUCUUUGUGUGUGUGUGUGUUUUAUUUUAUUUUAUUUUUUUCAUCCCUAUGCAGAAGAUGUAGAGGAAGCAACAUCACAUCAUAAGGUGCAUUUUUCUGUUCAUUUAAGCCUAAAGGUUCUGGAUUCACAAAAUGGUGGGAACUAAGGGUGAGAAACUGGAAAAAAAAAUGUUGGAUUGAGCUACAUUUGAUCAAUAGUGAAUUUGCAAAAAAGAUUGUAGGAGAGGUUUCUUGAGGUGGACAAGGUCAGAAGCAAGGAGCCUUUUCCUAGUUUUUGGGAAGAACUUAUUGUUAACGUGUGAAUUCAUUAAGGGUAAUUUAUGUAAGAUUUUCUAGAUUUUGCAAGUGAAUGCACCUUAGCUUUUCCUAUUGUAUUUGUGUUUUUUUAGGUUGAUUAUUUUAUUGAUCGUCACCACUCAAGGAAUGGAAGCAAUAGGGUCUCUAGAUGUACUGCGUAAAGGCGGGCAUACAGGCGUUGUUAGGAAUGUGUUUCCCAUGUCCAACAAGCAUAUUGACACCACCUAAAGCCAAGGCAUCUUUGGACGAGGAGUUCUAGCUUCUACUUCUGUGGACUUUGUAGAUGUCGUCUGGCUCUUCUAAAUAUUUAUUGUUAUGUAGUAGUUAUACACAUGUACUUUGUUUAAGUGAAUUGAUUAUUGGAUUUUUAGUUAAAUCAAAUUUAAGGGUAUGUUGUUUAAUUUACUAGUGAUCUCUUGUUUGUAAUUCUCGUUAUCAUAUAUAAAUCUUUGUUAGCAUUUUCCAAUUUCCUCAAUAGCAACUAUAUUAGUUUUCAGUGGAAUGAAUCUUGAGUAACUUGUAGUAUCAUUUUUGGUUUUGAAUUGACUAAUCUGUUUUGGAAGGAUGAAUUAGAUAUAUGAGCUUGAUUGCUAACAGUAGUUGAGUUUGUUUUGAUCUCGGGAUAUUUGCCUUGUUGAAUAGGACGUAGAUUUUGGGUCCAAAGAGUUGAAAAUUGAUGAGCUUAACCAAGACAUAGGAGAACCACAUGCAACACUAACCAGAGUUCCUACAACAAGCUAAUAACCAUGAUUUAGAAAUGUGAUUUCGUUAAAGGGAAGCAUUUCUAAUCUUAUUUGAAAGGAAACUUUGAUGUCUUCCCUAAUACACUAGAAUAUUAAUUUAAAAACAACAAUUAAGGUUAUAUUAACUAUUAUAAUAAUUUAUAAAUUAUAUAAAUAUGAUAAUAACUAUUAAAAUGAAAGUAUUAAAUGUAAAAAAGUUUAAUCUUGUUGGGUAAAAACUUCAUCAAUCUUUUAUUAUUGAACUUCUAUUAUAUAAUCAAACAUAGUGAUGAUCCUCGGUUGGAUUAAUCAACACUUGUUUCAUAAAUUGAACAACAUAUAACAUGAUCAACCAUAAACAAACAAGUAAACAUCAUACUAGAUAAAACUAUCUCUUAAGAUUUCUAUUAUUACAUGUUUAAAUUACAAAUCAUAUUUUUGCAACUUUCGUAAAAUUAUGCAAUAGAUAUGAUUAAAAUUACGAAACAUCGGAAAUGUAUAUUGAUUCAUUAUUCAGAUUCAUCAUAUCAUAUAUAUCCUUUAGUAGUCCAUAAGAUCAAAUAAUAACCAAAAUUCAAAAAAUAUGUUUUAUGAUCCAAAAUUGAUUGACACUAAUAUCAUUUGUUAAAUAAACUUUAUGUGAAAUAAUUAUUUUGGAAAAUCAAUUUGGAUGCAUAAUGCAUAAUAGGUAUAAGAAAUAAAGAAAUGACAAAAUAAUAAUUAUAUUCUUGUCUUAAUCCAUGAUACUGAUAACACUUGUAAUGUGAAUUUGAGUCAUUUUGUGAAUUGUUGGGUCAAGGUCUUCAACUCACCAUUCUCAUUUAGUAGAUGAGUCAAUUGUGUGGUAUAUGUUGUUAUAAGUAAAACAACUAAAAACAUAAGAAUGCAAUGUGACUUAGGACCUUAACUUUAUAAAAAAGAUUUAUAACUCUUAAUAUUCUCAUAAAAGAUUAUAUGAAAGUUAUACUCAUUAUUUAUAAACAUUAUACACAGAUUAAUGGACAAUGGUAAACUACCAACUUGAAUACAUUCAUGUAAUUGUAUAAAUUACACUUUUUCAUCUUCCUCUAUUAGUCAUAAACUUUAUGUACAAAUGAAAUCUCAUAAAGAUGGAGUUACACAAGUUGUAAUACCAUAUUCUUAUAAAUGAAAUUUUUCUAACUCUGUAUUUAUAAUUUUAAUCUUCUAUGUUAGAAGUUGAAUUUGUUCCACGUCGCCAAGUUAUUGGGUUAUUAUGUUGUUCAUAUAUGUAGAUUGGUCACCUCUCCAAGCUAGCUUUUGGGAAUGAAUUCUAUUCAAACCCAUUUAACAUGGUAUCAGAGCUUGGUUUGACUGUGGGUUGUGGGUUCGAGCCACCUCUCUGCAAUUCGCAUGUUUGUUCCUUAUUUGCAUGUUUGGAAGUCUAGAAAAGGUUAUUUGCAUUUGUUUGUCUCUUCACGUGUGGAUAUGGGACCACACAUAAGAGAGGGUGUUAAAAAGCUUGAUAUGUACGUAUAUUGAACCUAAAUCUUAUAAGUUUAAGCUUUUAGGAAAAUUAGUAAUUCAACAUUCUAUACAUAAAAUUAUUUGAUGUCCAAUCAAUUGAUUCACCUACCUAUCAAUUAAUAUACUUUUAAAUAAAAUAUAUUUCAAUCCAUUACACAAAUAUAAUUAAAACAAAAUACUAUAGUAAUGUGAGUAUGUGAUAAAUAAAUAAAAUAAAAAUAAUCACGUGUUACAUGUAAACUAUAUUCAAAGGAAAAACCCACUAUUAAACAAUCCAUUGUAUAAUGAUCAAUUACAAAGACCAAGUAUUACCAAACUUAAAAGUAUCUAAAUCAUACUCACUUUGCACAUUUUCUUUAUACUUGGAUCCUUUAAACACAUUUAUCCCAAUGUGGAUGCAUCUUGAGUUCUAAUCAAGGAAAUCAACCUUUGAGUAAAAUUUUCAUCAAGUUAAAGUCUCUUUAUAUCAUUGAGAACCAUAUCAAGAUUUCUUUUUGUUGGUUGCUUUCAAAGUCCCACUAGAAUUAGAAUGAACAUUUUAUAAAUUCUAGGACUUUAACAUAUGAAUUCUUCAAUGAGUCAAUCAAAUAUUAAAUUUUAUCUCCAUAGAUGGACCUCAAUGAAUUUUUCAACAAAUUAAAGGUGUUAACACUAAUUUCAUAUUAGAAAAAAAAAAAAAAUCAUGUGACACAUAUUGAUAUAUAUAUAUAUAUAUAUAUAUAUAUAUAUAUAGGUGUUGUCUGGGAUAAAUAGAUUGAAUUCAUGAGAAAAUUAUUCUUAAUUUUGUAAAAAUUAUAUAUAUAAGAAAGUUUUUAGACUUACUAAAACACAUUACUAAUCAAGUGGUAAUAUUUAUAUCUCAUUAUUUUGUAAUCAAGUCUCAUUCAUUUGUAUCACAUAUGAGUCCUAUUAUUUUAUACCUUACUCUUAUUAUAUUGUACUUUGAUCUUAUUUGUUUAUACAUCGAUUUCAUUUCUUUAUAUGUUCAUCAUAUUUAUUUAUAUCUCGAUCUUAAUUAUUUAUAUCUUUCAAUAGUUUAGAUUUCAAUACAUAUUUUUAAAUAUUUUAAUUGGAAAUUCAAUAUCUUACUAUUUUUCUAAAUAGCUACCUAUAAUCCUUUGUAGACUCAAAAUUCACUUCAAGCCAUCAAAAAAAUCGACCUCUCUUUGUAAGUUGCUAUACUCAUUGCUAAACUAUAAUUCCAAAAAUAGCAGAACUUUUCAUACUUAUUCUAGGCAAUUAGAGUCGAGAUGUUCCAGGCAUAUACCAUUGUCUUUCAAGAUUUGAAAGAAAUGUUACGAUUUCAGCAUGAAAUAAUGCAUGUCGAUUAACAAUAUUGCUCAGAUUCUUUAGGCAAAGGUCCCAGCCUAGAGAUUGAUAAUGUUUCUUUGAAGCAAAAUGACAAAAUGGAAUAACACAAGAAAGCCAGAACCAAUUAAGUGUCCACAGACAAAAAAAUUUAUUUAUUUAUUUUCUGAACCACCCCUGAAAUUGACACCUCCCAUACAGUCUGCAUUUCUGUGGCACUAUUUCCCUUAUUCCUAACCAUAAAUCUGCUGCCAUCUCAAUAAUUCACAUCCUUAUCCACUCCUUAUCUAGGGUUGUAACACUUUUUUCAAAAAGAUUUUUUUUUUUUUUUUUCUAAGGGGUGGAUAAGGGUCCUGAGACAAGCUGUGGAAUAAUUAUAAACCCACUUGGGUAAUGGUUUCAUUGUCAGGGUAAUACUAUUUAAGGUGAAAAUCAGCUGGGUCUAUCAUUCUUGUUUCCAUAUGACUGUUUCCAAGGAUAACUCAACCUUCAAAUCCAUCGAGCAGUCAUAUAAAAAUACACGCAGAUUUCAUAUUUUGAAGCUUGUCCUGUGUUCAGAUCGGAUAACUCACUCAUAUGCCUAAUCACCAAUCGCCAACUUGAGCGUAAAAAAAGCGUGGGGCGAUAUUAUUUGUAUAUGGGUUUGACUGUUUGAGAGAGAAAGGUGGGGUGUCCCUUGGAGGAGUCCAAAGGCCAUUUUUGAACCUGCCUUUGAUUAUCGCCAUGGCAAAUCAACAGCUUGUAGUGUAUAUAUAUAUAUAUAUAUAUAUUAAUGGAGACCAAGACUCAAAUAGAGAGAGAGACGCGGGAUGCGAUAAAGAGAACAGUAUAGCCAAGAGUAUAUAAGCAUUUCUAUUGCUGUAAUGGUGAUUCAGAGACUGGAAAUGUGUAUAUCACUGCUGAAAAUGGCAGUAGAGUUUGUGCUUGUUUUCGCGGAGGCAGUCGGGCUAGUCAUCAACCACAAUGCCACGCCGCUUUUGGCAAACUCAGCCUCAGUUGGCAAUGAUGUUUCUGUCCCUUUUAUCGGUUUUCUUCUUUGAAUUCUUCGUCUUGUAGUUUCCUUCCUUAGCAGAAUGCCCAUUGGCCAUUGUAUACGUUGAGGUUUCAUUUUUGUCUUGAUAGAUUUUGCCUUGGAAAGUGUCUGUACUACCAGCUAAAAGAUGUGAAUGUUUGAUAGGAGAGAGUACAUAUAACAUCUUUGUAAACUUCGAUUAAUUUUGGUUCUGGGUGAGCUUCAUCUUCUGCAAAUUCAUUUGCUGGUAGCUUUGGAAAUGAAUCUUCAGUGGUUUGGGUGGUGAUUAUUUGCUUGCUUCACACGAUUUUAUGUGUUGUUCCUUUGGUAAUAAUCUUGUUGGAUGGAUCAAGGAGGAGCGAUGAUCAGGAAAAUAAAGUCGGGAGAAAGAAAAGAUAUAAUGAUGAUUAAGAAAGGCUUUAAUAUACUUGCAAGAUCAGGAAAAAAUAUUUCUUGGUUAAUCAAUUAUUUUCUUGCUUGAUAUGGGUUUGAUACUUUUUGUCAAUUGGUGAUCAUUCUGGGAAGAUCAGGAAGAAGAAAAUGGGGUCUAGAUGAAGAAAAGCUAUAAUGGUGAUUAUUAAUUGAAAUCAGAUGAAAUAAAAGUCUGUUUCCAUCAUUCUUAAUAGGGUUUCAUAGUCCCCGCAGGACUUUAGUACUCAUCAAACUCAUAAAUUUUGAACAACUUUGAGCUAACCUUCUGCAUUAAUUUGGUGCAUCUGCGCAGUUGCAGAGUAUGAACACCCACAAAAUCUUAAUAUGAAUCUUUUGGGGCAAUAGCUUCUAUAUAUGAUGGAUGAUAAGAACAAAGCAAAUCUUGGGUUCUCCAUGGCCACGAUCAUUUAUCCGCCAUAUAAAAUGCAGAUUUUCCUAACACCAACCCCUUAUUUUAAUAAAGUCAAGUUAUUUUAAGGCCCCCAUUAUUAGACAUGCCCUAGAAGCAUUGGGUCUGUGAUUAAAAAAAUGUAGUAAUAUCAUUUAAAAUAUCUAACACUGAAAUUUUGAUAAUUUUGAAUGUCAUAGUGUGGAUUUGAAGAAAGAAAUCGUAUCCAAGAUCUCUUCCUUUUCCUGGGAAACAUUAGUCUUGGUCAAUUAUGAACUGUUACACGUUACCUAUCAUGAUCAUAUUUAUAUUAGCUUUGAUUUCUAUGGGGGUUAUAAUUUAUUUGUAUGCUAAUCAUAGAGGUGAUACAUGUGAUCCACAUGUCAUAUUUGGACUUGGAACCAAUCAUUGGAUUCCUUUGAUGAACUGGCAAUGGAAGAAUACUAAUUGCUCCGGUCCCUUUCUUUUUUCAACGUAGGAUGAUCAGGUCCUUUGAUCUCUUCCACACCCACUGGCUGUUUUUCUUUGUUCCUUUUUCAAUCAUCCAUAGCUGAAAAGCCUUGAUGCCCUCCUUGACUUUCCCAAGAUAAAACACCUUAUCUUCACUUUCUUUCUUUUCCCUUUAAAUUUGAUUUUAGAUCUGAAAUCCAGGGCUUAUGACCCUGUAGAAGAAAGACAGAUAUGAAGCUUGGGAUGAUUUGAACUUCAGUUUGAUUUUCUGCACACUGUUUAAAACUCCUGAAAUAUAGUUGUAUAUUGCAAUACAUUUAUAAUUGAUACAACUGAACCAUGAUGUUUCUAUUAGUAAAAAUUUCUUUGAAUCAAUCCACAGUUCAAAGUACCAAUUUCAAUUGAAACUUUUUUCUUUUCCUGCUUAUUCAAUUGUUUCGUUUUCCACAUAAUGGUAUGACAACAUCAAGAAUACUUCUCAGCAAUUGCCUGCAGGUGAACCCAAAGCUCUUUUGGCUGAGACAUCAUGACCAUGUGAUCAGAUCCUUUAAUCUCUUUAACAGCAUCAGGUGGGUUUUCUUCGAUCAUCCAGAGUUGAAAAUCCUUUUUCGCCAGCUUGUCUUCCUCAGAAAUAAUAAAGACACGUUUAACCGAGGCAUAUUUCUUCGACAACAUGAGAUCCUUUGACAUGUCUUCUUCACUGAACAAGCGUAAGGGUCUCAUCAACAUAGUCCCUAGUGCCAAGUCCUGGAAAAUUUGUGCCCAAAAUGAUAUAACAACAACAAUGAAAAGUCUCAUGAUUUUGGCUGUAAGGCCUGAAUUAAUGAAGUUCUCACCUCAGUUGGGCUCAACUGAUACACAUUCAGUGAUGAGAACAAGGGGCCAAAGGUGAAAGUGGUGGGAGGAUUGUUGGGGCCAUUAUCAUAUGUGAACUGGCUGUCUAGUAGAGGACCUUGUCUCCUGAGUGACUUCAAUAAGAAGUAGAAACCAGGCUAAAAGUCAGAAACAGGGGAAGCCUUCCCCUCUUAAUCAACAAGUAAAUUUCUGUAAAAGAAAAAUAGUAUGUAUGAAGUACCUCUUGAUUGAGAGUGGAAAUGUUGAGAGUGGGACCAGGCAUUGAGGCAGUAACAAAAACAGCUACAGAAACCUUUUCUGGGAACUUCUCCAUGGCCUGAGAAAUGGCCAACCCACCCAAGCUGUGUCCAACGAGAACCACCCUUUCAUCUGCAGGGAGUGACUCCAUGAAGUCCCUCAGUGGCUGGAAAUACUCAGAAAUAGAUCGCAGAUCACCCACUUGUUUUGGGUUAAUUCCAGAAGCAGCCAAGUCCAGAGCAGUGACUUUGUGGCCAGAUGAUUUUAGUAGUGCCACAAUCUUGUACCAAGACCAGGCACCAUGGCAAGACCCAUGAACUAGAACAUAGUGCUUGACGGGAUUAGCCUGUCUCCCCUCUGAUGCCAUUGAAUACACUGAAGAAACAAGAAAAAUCAGAAAGGAAACUAAAAUCGUAUGCUUCUUCCUUUCCUGCGUACUCCUUUCCUGUUACAGAGAUGGUCAGCACCCAAGCAUUUUAAAGGGCACAAUUGGCUUUCACUACAACUACUAAUCUAAUGGAUUAAAAUUUUUCCUGUGAAAUUGACUCUAGAAAUAAAAUAAGGAUUAAGGAUUCAAGAAUAUGUACACAUAGACUGCCAGGGUUUAAAAGAUGACACAUGCACCUGCGUCACACUCUUUUUCAAUGAUAAAGAAGUUAUGCAAAGGAAGAAAGAAUGAAAUAUACAGAGUCUAGUAGUUAACUCCUCCCCUUGAAUUCUUCUGUUGCCCGGAUUGGUUUGUAACUGCAAACAUUUUCUUUUCCCAAUGUGAUCUGUGGAUUGAGUUCUGAUCUCAAUUUGUUUUUGGCAUUUUUGGUUUUGCUUCUGCAAAUCUUGAGAUGUAUCUUUCAAUUAAUAUAAGUAAGUUAUGCAGUAAAGGUUUUUGGACAUAUAAAAUGUUAGCCAAACCUUUCCCAUGGCGGGUUGAAGGUACUUUGGGGUAGGCUUGGUCACGCUUGAUACCUCAAUCGGACUGAAACAUGAUGUUUUCACCCAUUUGAAUUGGUCAAAGCUGUGUUGACUGGCAUGAUUCCUUUAAUAAAGAAGUUGUUUUUGGAUUAAGGCCUACAACACCAAUUUCACUUAAAUACAUCUAUUUAAUAAUUAUGUAUUAACAUAAUUAUAAUCAAUUGAGUCGAAAACAAUUAAAUUAAAAAGUUAAUUAUAUUGACUUAAAUAAAAUCUGACUCAACCAGAUUAUUAAAUAAAUUACUCAACUUAUUACAUGUUUAAUAAUUAAGUCGUAUUUGGGUUUAUACUUUUAACUCAAUUAUUAUUCAUGUUAUAUUUGUGUUGACUUAUUAAGUCACAGUAUCUAAAUUUAAUUUGAUAUGACAUGAACACUACCCACCAACAUUAAUUGUAUCCCCUGUUUUAAGUUCCGGUGGCAUCAUGAGUUUGGCCUCUGUUUUGAGUGUUGAAUUAACCUUUCCCAUGGUUGUCAAGUUCUUCAUAAAUUAUUGGUGAUUGUAAUAAUUUCCUCAUAAAUUAAUGGCGCUAUAUGCUUCUUUAGGAUCCAUUGAUCUUACUAAUUCUCUUCCUGGUAUGGGAAGAAAAUGACUCUUCCAUUAAUGCAGCAUGCAUUGCUACUUAUUUAUCAAGCAAAUUACAUUAUUAUUUUCACACCAAACCUCCAAAUUCAUCAUGUACUUAUCCUAUAUACUACAUGGUGAACUUUAGAGAGCUAAAACAAGCUCUUCUUGAUUAAAGAUAGAUAAUGUCCUAUUGACCUUUUUACUUUGAUGCCUUGAAAUGAGAAAUUUGGAUGUUUUCUACAUCAAGCUUCUUGAAAUUAUUGUGCUUUCUCGUAGUAAAGAAUUUUCCCAAGUUGUGUACUUUGGCUUUUCCCCCUUUGUCAUCUCCUCCAAGGGUUGCACCCAAACACGGUGUUCGGGAUUGAAAAAGAACGGAAUCAAAAACCUUUCCCUCUCUGAAUUCACCAUCACCCUAUGCUCCACACUCUCAUAAGUAUCGUUGCUCCAUACCUGAUUUAAUAUCAAGAUAAUUAGACAAAUGGGUGUGUAAAAUUCCUUGAGCCAAACUGUACUGAUAAGCAAGUACUAAAGACGAUACAGGCUUUGAGAGUUAAAGGUCGUUCUUUCUAUAAAUCAAGGCAAUAAGUAUAUAUACAACAUACAACAUAGUUGCUGUUACAGGCUUACCAAAUUAAUUCCACAAUAAAGGAAACUAUACAUGGUUGGUUACCAAAACAAAAAUAGGAGAUUAGCUAUACAUAUUACUAAAAUAUAGGAUUUGAUAAAGAUUGAAGUGGACUUUCAAAUGAACCAUUUUCCUUAUCAUGACCCCUCAAGAUAGACUUCGAUUGAAUGCCUAGCUUGACGCACAAGUGUUGUAGAUGAGCUAAGGAUUGUGGCUUUGUUAAGGCAUCAACAAGUUGAUCCGCGAAAGCAAAAUGAGGCACGCGAAAAGUGUAAUCUUGAACUCACAAAAUGAAAAUAAAUAGCAAUAUGCUUCAUCCAAAAUGUAAAAUUAGGUUGGCGCAUAAGUAGGUGGUACCGACAUUAUCACAAUAGAUUGGCAUGGGUUUGGGAACUGAAAUACCCAACUCAAGUAAUAGGGAGUUAAGCCAAAGAAGUUUGGAAGAAGUUGUAGCUACAACAUGAUACUCUACCUCAGUUGAGGAACGGGCAACAAAUGUUGCUUCUUUGAACUCCAAGAAAUGACAUUAUGACCUAAAAACACAACAUGAGCACUAGUUAAAGUACGAUCAUCACGAUCACCAAUCCAAUCUACAUCGGAGAAGGCAUGAAGGCUAAGAGGGGAUCCUUUUCGAAGAAACAAACAAUGAUGCGUUGUACCUUUAAGAUAACGGAGAAGAUGUUUGAGUGCCAACCAGUGAGUGGUAGUAAGUCUAUGCAUGAAUUGAGAGAGUUUAUUGAUUGAGAAAGCAAUGUUUGGUUGAGUGAAGAAGAGGUACCGAAGACCACCAACAAUAGAUCGAUACUUAGUCGAAUUGGUCAAGGAUGUGCCAUCCACAAGGCUAGGUAUCUGAGAUGUUGACAUAGGAGUUGUGAAUGACUUGGAAUCCAUCAUUUUUGUGUGCUCCAAAAGAUCUAAAACAUAUUUGUGUUGAGAAAGAAAGAGACCAAAUGAGCUUGGAAUAACUUCAACCCCUAAAAAAUAAGAGGCAACACCUAAAUCUUUAAUGGAGAACCGAGUAGCAAGUGUGUGAACAAAAUGAUUGAGAGUACCAUCAUCAUUGCUAGUAACAAUAAUAUCAUCAACAUACACAAGUAGGAAAAUGGUAAAUAGAGACUUCUUAUGGAUGGACAAUGAAGUGUCAAAUUUGGGGUAGAAACUGCUUCACAAACCCUUGAUGGAGUAGAAACUGCUUCAGUUCUUGAUACAAGGCACAUGGUGCUUGUUUGAGGCUAUAAAUAGCUUUCUUAAGAUGACACACAUGGCUUGGAAACUAAGGAUCAACAAACCUUGGUGGUUGAGCCAUAAACACAUUUUUGGCAAAAGUCCCAUGAAGAAAAAGCAUUGUUCACAUCAAGUUGACAAAGUGACCAAUUGAAGGAAAAUGCAAGACUAAGAAUGAGUAGACCAGUAGUAGGUUUCACAACCGGGCUGAAUGUCUUAGCAUAGUCAAUACCAGGGAGUUGAUGAAAACCCUUGGCGACAAGAGGAGCCUUGUAUUGAGCAAUAGAGCCAUCAGGAUUGCGUUUGAUUCGGAAAAUCCAUUUGCAACCAACUAGAUUCUGUGACUUAGUAGAAGGAUUCAACUCCCAUGUGCCAUUAUGAAGAAGAGCAUCAAAUUCUUCAAACAUAGCUUAACACCACUCAAGAAGCUUUAAAGUUUGGGUAACAUAGGCAGGUGCAACAUCAGGAGUGGUAGAGACAAAAGCAUACUUGGUGGAUGGUUUGAAGACAUUAUUCUUGGAUCUUGUAACCAUGGGAUGGGUGUUGAGGGUAGGGGGUCGAGUGGGUGGGAUGGGGGAAGGGGUAGGAUGUGGGGUUGAAAGCAAGAUUGGGCUUGGAGGGAAACUAUGUUGGGAUUGUGUAGUCUCAGCAUUGGGGGGUAAUAUAAUUGACUGGCCAGCAAGAGUGGUAUCAUGAAUGGUCGAAUGCUUAACUGGAGUGGUACCUAAGAUUGUAUUGUCCUGUGAUGAGGGAAUUGAUACGAGAGGGAAUGGAAUAGAUGGGACUAUGGUGGGUGGAGGUUUCUCGGCAGUUGAAGAAAAGAGGACCAUUAUCUCAACAAAGGUGACAUGAUGAGAGGUGAAUAACUUGUGGGAAACUCGAUCAAGGCAAAGGUAUGCACUUUGUGUAAGAGAGUAACCUAAGAAGACACAUGGACGAGAUUUGGAUUGAAGUUUGUGGUCAUUAUAUGGGAGUAACUAAGGAUAACAAAGACAACCAAACAUUCAUAAUUUGUCAAGAAUUAGGUUUGUGAUUGAAUAAUUUCUCAUAGGAAGAGAGGAAUGAGAGGUUUGGUUUAAGCAUUCGAUUAAUAAGAUAGACUAUAGCUUAAAAGGCAAAGGGCCAAAAAGAAGUAGGAAUGGAUGCAUGAUGGAAAAGGAUGAGUCUGGUUUUGACAAUGUGUCUAUGAUGACGUUUGGAGUAACCAUUAUGCUUAGGAGUAUGAGGUGGGGUGGUGAGAUGAGUAAUGCUAGCAAGAGCAAAAUAAUCUUUUAACGCUAGAAAUUCACCACUAUUGUCAUAAUAGAUUUGAAUUAUUUUGGAACUGAAGUAGUUUUCAACUAGAGCUUUAAAUCGAACAAAAACAUCAUAGACAUUAGAUUUCUUUUGAAGUGGAUAUAACCAGACAUAUUUGGUGAAGUGAUCGACAAAGAUAACAUAGUAUUUAAAGUUAUCAUUUGAUACAAUGGGAGAACUCCAAACAUUUGAGUAAAUAGUUUGUAAAUGAGAUGAACUUGUAAUAGAUGAUGUAGAGAAAGGUAGUUUAUGACUUUUAUUGCACUUACAAGAAUUACAAGCAAAAGUAGAAAUAUCAUUAGAUGAUAAAGAAUGACUCUUAGAGGAAACUAAAUAUUGAAGAACUUUGGAAGAGGGAUGACCAAGUCGAUGAUGCCAAUUUGGAAGUGAAGUCUUAACAUUGGAAAAUACAAUCAAAGGUUUUUUCGUAGUAGGAGAAUUCAACCAUACAUAAAAACCACCACUAUAGAAUAUAGAAUAUAAUUUUAUAUUUAAUUAAUUUUGCAUUUAAAUAAUAUAUGAUAAAGAUAUUACUUUUAUAUUUAAAUAAUAUAAGAUGGUAAUGAGAUAAAAAUGAAUGUUUUUAUGGUUAUAGGAAUAAAGAAAAAUAAAAUAAAAAAGAUUUCAAUUACUUAAUUAAUAGUAAUCCUAAUUUAAUUUCAAUUAAUAUUAAUCUUAUUUAUAUCUUUCCUUUCUUGAAUAUACCAUAAAAAGAUUUAAGUAGUAAAUAAAUACAUGGGUAGAAGGAUACAUCCAGUCAUGAGGUGUACCUAUAUAUUAAUUUUAUAUUUAAAUAUUAUAGAAUAUAAUUUUAUAUUUAAUUAAUUUUGCAUUUAAAUAAUAUAUGAUAAAGAUAUUAGUUUUAUAUUUAAAUAAUAUAAGAUGGUAAUAAGAUAAAAAUGAAUGUUUUAUGGUUAUAGGAAUAAAGAAAAAUAAAAUAAAAAAGAUUUCAAUUACUAAAUCAAUAGUAAUCCUAAUUUAAUUCCAAUUAAUAUUAAUAUUAUUUAUAUCUUUCCUUUCUUGAAUAUACCAUAAAAAGAUUUAAGUAGUAAUCUGGGAUAGAUAUUAAUUUUAUAUUUAAGAAAUAUAGGAUAUAAUGUAGAGAAUAGAGAUACACAAACAUAUUUUAUAUUUAAGUAGUAAUCUUCAUGAGCUUUACACAAACAAAAAACUUAGAUGUUUACAUCAUCUAGAAGCCCCACUUCGCCUCUCUCUCAGCCCUCAGCCCUCAGGCUUAAGAAGUUGUCAUGAGAAACCUAACACAAACCUUUCUUAUAAUUAUUGUUCAUAGUCGUAGCUACCAAGAAUUCCAAGUUAGGAAGAAAAAAAGAAUCAUAAAUACAGCAAAAAUAACUUCCACUACAUGCGGCAGCAGGGGUACCAAAUUAGGGAAAUUAAGAAGUAAACCAUGCCCAAUCAAUUGCUGGGAAAUAUUAUUUGGAUAUCAAAUUAGGGAAGCUAUUAAGUGUGGUUUUUGUAGUGUUAAAUCAGAGAGAAAUUUAAUUAUAUUAUGAAUUUCAAAUUUAAUUAUUCUAAGAACAAUGAAUUACUCUAAUAGAAUUUAAUGUAUAAAAACAUUUCAAACACUCGCAACAUAUAUCAUUUUCAUUUUUUCCAAAAGCACCAAAACCCUAUAACAAUGAAAAUAAACCCAAUAACAAUGGAAAUAAACCAAAUAACAAUGGAAUCUCAAACCUAAUCACAAACAUUUCCAAAAUACCAACUAACAAAACCCAAAAAAAAAAAAAAAUUCCCAAAACUCACCAAAACCUAGAGAGAUGAUUUUCACGGGAGUUUCUUGGAGGUGGCUUCAGCUUUACCGACCAUAGCUUCCAUGGGGCUUCUUCAGCAUGGCUUCCAUAAGCUUUUUUUGACAAUAGCUUCCUCCAAGCAAUGGGGGUUGUGGGUAGGUUUUGUGGGUUUUAUGGCCGUGGGUUUUGGAGAGGAAGAGAAAAUGGGUUGGCAGGAGAGAGAAAGAAAGGCUUUAUAUUCGAUUAGGAAAGUGAUGUGGCCGUGGGGUAUACCCACAUGGUUAAAAGAAAGACAUUUUUCCAUUAGAAAAAAAUGUCUCAUGGCUUUUUUUAUUGUUAUUGUUAUACCCAAAAAAAAUAAUUUAAUUUUAUUGUUAUACCCUAAAAUUUUUUUAUUGUUAUUGUUAUUGUUCUGUGUUCAGAACUAUUAAUUUAAAAAGUUUUUCAAGUUUUAAAAUUAUCAAAUUUUUAAAAUUUACAAUUAUUUUAAAAUUUUAAAUUUACAAUUAUUUUUAAAAUUUUAAAUUUAAAUUAAUUUUGAAAGUUCAAUGUUUUACUCAAAGUGUUAUUCUAAAAUUUUUAUUAAGUUUUAUCAAGUUUUUUAAGUUUUAAAAUUAUCAAGUUUAAAAUUUAAAAAUUUUAUAUAAAUACAAAGAAUAAUUAAAAAUAAAAUAUAACAUAUAAAUGUUAUUUUUUAAAACAUAUUUAAAAACAUAAAAAAUAUAUAUUAAGAAUAUUUUAGGUUUCUAAAUCAACUUUUAUUUUAAAAUACAUCGGCAAAAAAAUUUUUAAAAAUGUUUUAAAAAACCGUUUUUUGUAUAAUUGUUUAUGAAAAUGUCAAAAUACUUCACAAAUAAACCAGUUCGAGUCCCCUCAGGGCCUCGUGGGAUUAGUCGAGAUGUGCUUAAGCUGGUCCGGACAUCCACGGUUAUAAAUAAAAAAUAAAAAUAAAAAAAUAAAAAAUACUUCACAAAUAAAACUAUAAUUUAUUGGUAUUUUUGUGGGCCUUAGGUGUUAGGAAAUGUUAUAUGUGCAUCCUACUCCUACUCUGUCUUCAUUAUUUUCAGUCCCUUUAUAUCUUAUACCAAUCUACUAUUAUUUUAUCAUAUGGUAUCAGUUUUUCAUAUUUGAUGAUAUUAAUUUCUACCUUAUCCCAUAUGCUUGUAGCUUAAUUUCAUUAUACAUUUGGACAACAGAAUUUCAGACUUCCAUUUGGUACUAAAUAUAAUAAACAUAAACAGAGAAUGAUGCAUUUAAGAAUAUUUUUCCAUGAAUUUUAACUUUAUAAAUUUGUUAAUUUUACAAAUUUAAGAAUUAUAAAAGUUUAGAACUUUUAUUUUUAAUCAUAAACAGAGGAUGUUAUUUUUGUAGUUAUAAAUUGUUUUUGUAUUGCAAAAAUCAUAAAGAUUAAAUAAUAUUUUAUGAUUGAAAAUUAAAUAAAACUAUAAACAAUUUUACUAGUAAUUGUUCAUAGUAAAAUUUAGUUAUCAUGACUAUUGAUACUUUAAAUAUAAUAAGAAUUAUUUAUCAUAUAUAAAAUCAAAAUUGUUUUUUAAUUUGCUAACUCACUUGCAUUUAAACUUUUUAUCAAAUAAUAUCAAAUUGAACCAUCAUAUUUUUAAACUAAUUUAUUAAACUUUAUUUUGCUUCUUAUUAAAACAUUAAUUAUAACAAGGAAAUUAAAUAAUUUUAACUAAAGAAAAAUAGGUAACACACUAAUUUGUUUCUUAACUUAAAAAAAAAUAGUAAUAUAACUUUAAACUUUUUAUAAUUAAUAAGAACUAUUAUUAUUACUAUUAAUGAUAAUUUCUAUUUAUGAUAUAUAUAUAUAUAUAUAUAUAAGAUUUUCUAAAAAAUUAUAAUAGGUAACCCAAAAAUUGUUUAAAAUAAAUAAUAGACUUUGGUCACGAUUGUGUGAACCCCGUGGCCAUAGGUUCAAAAUAUUUAAAAAAAACUCUAUGCAUUGGUAAUGGUCAAGCGAAAUUUGUAACUACAGGUUCUUAUACAGUCACGGUCAAUCAAUGGCGUGACUAAAAGUCACGGUCAAUCAAUCACGUCACUCAAAGUCACAAAAUAUCUAUUUAGUGACGGUUUCACAAAAACCUGUGACUAAAACAUCUUUUUCAUUACACUUUUUGUCACGGAUGAUAAAAUAACCGUGACUAAAGUUAUUGGCGCCAAAAUUUCCCUCCAUAAAUUUACAAAUAGUCACAGUUUUAAAUAAAUCCGUGACUAAAAUACCUCUUAUUAAUCCUUUUGGUGACGGUUGAUAAAAUCACCGUGACUAAACAUGUUUUUUUUUUUUUCCAAAUUUGAUUUAACACAUAUAGUCACAACCUUACCCAAUAAUAUCUUUGGUGGGCCGUGACUAAAGAUUCGUCAUUAAAAAUCUAUUUUUUUGUAGUGCUAGUUGGUCCAUGCAAAAUUCUUGCCCCCGUACAUAGACCAUUCACAUAAAAACAAGUGGGUAAGAAUUCAAUGAAAACAUUAUUUGUUAAGCAAAAUUGGGAAAUUGAAAUCAAGUUCUUUUUCAUGGUGAGAACACAAGGGAUAUUAUUAAGUUGAAGUAGCUUUAAUGCAGUUGGGAGGGUGGUGGAUCCUGUGUGUGUGAUUUCUAGACCUUUACCAUCACCAAUAAUUAUGUCGUCUGGGCCAGCAUAGUCGGAAUGCAAAGAUAGAUUCUGAAGAUCAUUAGAUAUGUGGUGUGAGGCACCAAAAUCCAAGACCCAAUUUGGAGAGACAACAGUUGGUUGAGUUGUCGCAUGUGUUUGUGCAGAAGAGGGGCGGUAACUGUAAUUGGGUGGAACACCAUGAUGUUGACUGGCAAUAUAUCGAAAUGAUGGACAUCUUUUCGCUGAGUGUCCUUGAACACCACACAAUUGACAAGUCCCCUUAUAUGGAUGAGGGGUGUGAUUCGAAGUAUUCGAGGUAGUCAUUGGUUGAGGUUGUUUGGAUGUACGGUAUUGAGACGAAGAGUAAGGCUGUUGAUUGAAGAAUCGAUGCGAUUGUGGUUGUUUGGUAGCAGCAUUGGUGGAAGCAGGCAAUGAGACAUUCCAAGAAGAAUACUUGGCAGAUUCUCAUAAAGUUUGAGCCUCAAGAGGAAGCAAUUUCUCAUAAAGUUCCUCAAAGGAAAAACAGUUUCAUGGGCAUGGAUGGUUGAGUGUAAAUCUUUGUACAUCUCAGGCAAACCAUGAAAUAUUUGAAUAAUGAAGUCCUCAGGGUCUAUGGUGACGUUCAUGAGAUAGAGAACAUCAACGCAAAUUUUAACAAAUUGCAUAUACUGUGUUAUGGACUGAGUGCCUUUGGACAAGUUGUCGAGUUGAGUCCGAUAAUGAAUUAUUCGGCUUCGAGAUGCUUUAGCAUAGGUGUUGUGAAGUGUAGACCAAGCCUCAAGGGAGGUUGUGGCUGAUGCAAUGAAUGAGAAAAUUGUUGGACUAAGUGAUGAAACAAUAGCAUUAAGAAGAUGGUCUUGACGAAUCCAAUGGGUGUAAGCUGGGUUUGGGGUUGUAGUACCCUUUUCAGAAGUAAGAGUGCUAGAAGGACAUGGUAAAGUGCCAUUGACAUAUCCCAGUAAAUCAUAACCGACUAGGAGAGUGUAAAAUUGGAGUCUCCAUGCAGAAAAAUUGUGUUGAGUGAGUUUGAUGGGGGUUUGGGAAGAGGCGUUUAUGGCUAUGAGGUUUUGAGUAGUGUAUAUAGAGAUGUUGGCAGCAGUGUCGAUGGAGGAAACAAUUGAGGGGGAAGGGCUAGAGCCUUCGUUGGUUUAUGGGUUUGGUGAGGCAUGAGAAUCAACUAUGUGAGCUAUGGUUGCUCUGAUACCAUAAAGACGAUACAGGCUUUGAGAGUUAAAGAUUGUUCUUUCUAUAGAUCAAGGCAAGAAGUAUAUAUAUAGUAUACAACCUAGCGUUACAGACUUACCAAAUUAACUCCACAAUAAAGGGAACUAUACAUGGUUGGUUACCAAAACAAAUAUAGGAGAUUAGCUGUACAUAUUACUGAAAUAUAGAGACGAUCACGGAGGAUUUGAUAGAGAUUGAAGUUGACUUUCAAACGAACCAUUUUCCUUAUCAGGUACUAAUUCAAAGUUCUUGGGUGGUACUUGAAUUAUAUCCCCAACAUUGAUGAUAUAUGCAUCUAGGGUGGGCUUAACUCGAAUCCAUUCUCCAUCAGUUUUUUGCUUUACUUCCAACCCUCUGACAUCAUCCUGGGCAAGGAUGGUUAAGGCUUCGGCAUCCUUUUGGCAACGAACACCCAGAGCUAGGUGAGGGAUGGGGCAUGGUGGGUAGUGAUUGAGGCGGAUGAAGGUAGUUGAUUCUUCAAAGAAAAGAUUGAAUCUGUUUUCCGGCAAACCUAAGCUCAGAGAGAUGAGUCCCAACAUCUUGAAAGCUAGUUUUUCCAUUUCUCUAGCAUAUUCUUCACAUACCUCCCUGUAUAAAUUGGUUCAAUUAGAACCAAAAAACCAAGUAAAUCAUUGAAGUGACUCUGCCUUAGCUGGUGGAAUUUGUACCUUAAUUCAGGAGAGUACUGAGGCCACUGAUUGAUCAACUCUUUGAGCUCCUUGUCGUCAGGAUCAGGCGAAGCAGGGAUGAAGGCGGGGGAUGACACCACGAAAUCAAAGACUUCCUUCCAGUCCCUAACGUUCUUGGUAUGCUCAGUAUCAAAAUACCACAAAGGAUUCACCCCAUCUCUACUCACCUUCCUCUUCUCCUACAAUGGCAGAGCGAAGAACUUCCUCGCCGCAUCCUCAAUUUUCCGGCGAGACUCCGAGGGCAUCCCAUGGUUGAUGACUUGAAAGAAGCCUCGAUUCUUGGAUGCAUCAGCUAUUUGAGAAACAUGGUUAGAGGCAUUGGCGGAAGAGAGAUCAAUGAGUGGGAUGCCUUCAGCUUCGAUAACAACGAGCUUAGGCCCAUGUUGGGUGUCUUGGAUGAAGGCUGGAUCGACCUCUCCCAUGGCUGUGGUAGUGAUUAGAACCUAGAAAUGGUGGUUAUGCACUGGUAGCUGCAGGUUGAGAUUGUGAAGGGGACUUGGGCCACUUGGCAGGUGAUUUUUGUAGUGUAGUGGGGUUGGUUUGGUUCAUUGAACCUUGACAUAAUGACAUAAAUGGGAUACGUUUUAUAAGUUCAAGGAAUCAUGGUAUUUGGAAAAUAUGAAUGAGUUGAAAAUUUUAAAAAAUAGGUUUAUAGGAGUAUAUUUUAAGGAAAAUAAUUUUCAAAUCAUAUCAUGUAUAGGAUAGUGACUUUGUACAUGUUUGAGGGGAAUCAUGUCAAAGUGCACUAUUUGAAAAACAUGGCUAAAUUGUAAACUUAAAAAAGUGGUUUCAUGGAGAGUACAUUAUGAGAAAAAUAAUUUCCAAAUCAUGUACUAAAAUAAUAACUGUAUCCAUGCUUCCAAAACUACUAUUCAACAUAUUUUCAUCAUGUCACAUUUUCCUAUGACGUCAUUGCCCUCAUUUCUUAGAAGAAAAACCCUUUCUGUUCUACUUUACUUUACACUGUUUGUUCCUAUAACCCUUUCCUUUUUUUAAUUUUAAUUUUUUUAAAAAAAUAUUUCUCAUCUAUUUUCUCGAUUUUUAAAAUUCUAUUUAAUUAAAAAAAUUAGAAUUUUUUUUAAAGUACAAUUCAUUUAUUUAUUUUUUCAUUUUAUUUAAAUGUGAUGUAUAAUUAAUACAUUAACAUAAAUUAGUUUUUAAUAUAAAAAUAUAUUCAUCUAUAAUAAUUAAAAAUCUAAUAAAUAAAUAAAUAAAUAAAUAUUAGUAUUUUAAAUAAUAUUGAUUUCGUAUAUACAAUAUUUUAUUUUGUUUCAUUAUUAUAGAUCUCAUUUUCUAUAUUUUUUAUUUCUAAUUUUUCUUAUAGAAUUUUAAACCUAGAUUUUUUAAAAAUGAAAUUUAAAAAAACACUAGAAAUUAAAGUUUUUGUUUUCUUCAAAAUAAAAACAAAAAAAAAAUAAUAUACAAAAAAAAAAUAUUAGUUUACCUUUAAUUUCAUUCAACAAAAAAUUAGUAAUGAUAAUUUUUUAAGAGUAUUUAAUUUUAAAAGUAAUAUUUGAAGAUAGGUAAAAUAAAAAUUUUAAAAGUGUUUGUAUUAAAAUUUUGAAUAUAAAUUCACAACUCCCAUCAUAAUACAUUGAUAUUUAAAAUAAAAAAAACCCCUAAUGAUUUUUUUUUAUUAUAUUAAACAUGUAAAAAAAGUACAUUUUUGUUUAAUUAAAAAUUUAAACCAUUAAAAUUGUUUUUUUCUUUAAUAAAUAAUGUUUUUAAAGAGUACAUUAUACCUAUUUUUUUGGGCAUGUUAUUUAAUAAUUGCUACCAAAGUCAUAACAAUGACAAUAAAAAACUAAAUAUAAUAGUGCAUAUUUGCUAUCUAUAGUGGUACUUUUAGUUACUAACAUUAUUAUUUUUAAGUAAAAAUAAUGUUAUUAUUUCCUGACAUAUUUGAUGUAGAGGUUGAAGUGAUGACAGUGCUAAAUAAGUUAGUACAUCCUAUUAUCUACAGUGAUAUUUUUAGUUACUAUUAUUAUUAUUUUUAGGUAAAGACAAUGUUACUAUCUCUAGUGAUACAUUUGAUGUAUGGAUUGGAGUGGUGAUAGAUGAUGUAACAACUGUGUAUAUGGGGUCAAUCAAGUGUAAUUGUCCUCUUAUUUGUAUAGAUCGCAACCCACCUCCGACAGUGGUUGAAAAGUAGUCUUGGAAGCAUAUCACCAAAGGGACAUUUUGAAUAAUAAUUUGGGAAAAAGCGUUCAUCAGACAUAGCCUAAAAAGUAUAUCCCAACAUUGCUGUUUAUUUAUCAAGCAAAUUACAUUAUUAUUGUCACACCAAACCUCCAAAUUCAACAUGUACUUAGCCUAUAUACUGGAUGGUGAACGGGCUAAAACAAGCUCUUACUGAUUACAGAUAGAUACUGUCCUACUGACACUUUUACUCUGAUACCUUGAAAUGAGAAAUUUGGAGGUUUUCCACAUCAAGCUUCUUGAAAUUGCUGCGCCUUCUCGCAGAAAAGAACUUUCCCCAGUUGUAUGCUCUGUAAUUUUGCUUUUCCCCCUUCGUCAGCUCCUCCAAGGGCUUCACCCAAACAUGCUGCCCGGGAUUGAAAGAGAACGGAAUCGAAAACCUUUCCCUCUCUGAAUUCACAGUCACCCUGUGCUCCACACUUUCAUAAGUAUCAUUGCUCCAGGCCUGGUUUAAUAUCAGUAUAAUUAGCCAAAUGGGUGUAACUGAGCCAAACAGUACUGAUAAGCAUGUACUUAUAAUUCGAAGUUCUUGGGUGGUACCUGAAUUAUAUCCCCAACAUUGAUGAUAUAAGCAUCUGGGGUGGGCUUAACUCGAAUCCAUUCUCCAUCGGUUUUUCGCUUUACUUCCAACCCUCCGACAUCAUCCUGAGCAAGGAUGGUUAAGGCUCCGCCAUCCUUGUGGCGACCAACGCCCAGAGCUAGGUGAGGGAUGGGGCAAGGUGGGUAGUGUUUGAGGCGGAUGAAGUUCGUUGAUUCUUCAAAGAAAAGAUUGAAUCUGUUUUCCGGCAAACCUAAACUCAACGAGAUGAGUCCCAAUAGCUUGAAAGCUAAUUUUUCCAUUUCUCUAGCAUACUCUUCACAUACCUCCCUAUAUAAAUCAGUUCAA
rnacentral:lncRNA from 1 species